rnacentral:lncRNA from 1 species
GAAGCUCUUCCUGCGCGACGCCGACGCCGCUGAGGUGCUCGAGAUAUCCCUCCUAAACUCCACGGUGAUCGUCAGCAGCGCCGUCCGGUACGACGCCGCCAAAGGCGAGGGCGCGUGGGGCCGCGGCCUCGCCGGCGCGUUCCGCCUCAGGGAGCGGCGGAACCGGCUCGUCGUCGUGGGGUGCAACCUGCAGGCCGUCCUCCUGGACGGCGACGACAUCGCCGCCGCGUGCACCACCAUCUGCGGCGGCGCCGGCGCCACCUGGCCAGCAGCGGCCGACGGCGAGCUCGCGGAUUACUCGUGCGCGGGCGUUGGCUGCUGCCAGGCUUCCAUCUACCUAGGCCUCACGUCGUACGGCGUUCGGCUGUCGCCGUUCGGCACAAGCACCGGGCCGCCGCCGCCGCCGCCGACCUCCUCCGCCUCGUCGUCUAACCAAUCGGAUUCGGCUCUCGUGUUCGUCGCGGACAACGAGUGGUUCGGCGGGAACGCGAGUAAGCUCGGAUCAGCAGCAGCGACGAUGCGACCGGGCGGCGGCGGCAUGCCGGUGGCGCUGGCCGUGCUCGACUGGGCGAUCGGGAAGUCGGGGUGUCCGCCGCAUGGGCCCGACGACACGGCCUGUAGCAGCAGCAACAGCUACUGCCGCAACUCUACCAGCACCUCGCUUGGCGGCUACUCGUGCCAGUGCGACAACGGGUACCAAGGCAAUCCGUACGUUGCAAAUGGAUGUCAAGGUAAUUUGUUACUCCCUACUUCCCUAAAUGUUUGAUGCCGUUGACUUUUUAAAACAUGUUUAACCGUUCAUCUUAUUUAAAAACUUUUGUGAAAUAUGUAAAACUAUAUAUAUACAUAAAAGUAUAUUUAACAAUGAGUCAAAUGGUAGGAAAAAAUUAAUAAUUGCUUAAUUUUUUUGAAUAAGACGAACGAUCAAACAUAUUUCAAAAAGUCAACGGCGUCAAACAUUUAGGGAUGGAGGGAGUAUAAGGGUGUAACCAUGUAAGUGGAGAAACAACUGAGGGUCUUCUGAUUAGCUUCACAAGGUGGUGGGCUAGCUGUUCUGGGUUCGAUGCCUCACCCUUCUAUUUAGUUUGAUAUUAAAUCAUUUCCUAAUAUUUUAGCUUAUAAGUGUGUUUAACGGAUUAGUCAUUUACACUUGAAGUUGCAUAAGUAUAGCCUCUCAUCGUUUGCUUGCUAGAUUAUGAGCCGCGGCUAAAAUUUAAAACCUAAUUUUAAAGUUGAUUUUAGUUUUCUUAUUAUAGUCAAUCUUUUGCCGUUAAAAUUUUAAACCGCUAUUAAUAGUUUUAUUUAUAAAUUAUUUUUGUUCGUUUAGUAUAUUUUUCUAUGGCUUACCAACCAUAGUUCAAAUGAUUAGUGGAAUUUAGAACAGAAUGGUACAAAAUUUUUCUAAAUUCUCCCUUUCAGAUAUCGACGAGUGCGCUCUGCCAGAAGAAUAUCCCUGCUACGGUGAAUGCACAAACAAGCCAGGAUCGUUUUCGUGCAUGUGUCCGGGUGGGACGCACGGUGAUGCUAUGAACGAAGGAGGAUGUGAACCAACGAGUACAUAGAAAUUUCUCUUCAUUUCAUAACUUAAAUUUAUCCUUGCAAUCUUCUCUGCAAAUCCUUGCACAAACAGGGUUCAGAAAUUUGACCGUAUCUUCUGCUGGCAGCUCUCCUUGUGGCGAUAGGAGGAACCAUCGGCAUAGGAAUUCCAUCCGUGUUCGUGAUAGGCAUGGCAAUGACGAACAUGAUCAAGGCACGGAGGGCCAAGAAACUGAGAGCCGUAUUCUUCAAGCAGAACCGGGGUUUACUGCUGCUGCAACUUGUUGAUAAGGUGAUUGCUGAAAGGAUGGUGUUUACCUUGGAAGAGCUCGAAAAGGCAACAAAUCGAUUCGACGAGAUGAGAAAGCUCGGCAGCGGCGGCCAUGGCACUGUCUACAAAGGCACCUUGCCAGACAGACGUGUCGUUGCCAUCAAGAAAUCGAAUAUUACGGUUCGUAAGGAGAUCGAUGAUUUCAUAAACGAAGUUGUCAUUCUUUCGCAGAUCAACCAUCGGAAUGUUGUGCGGUUAUUCGGAUGUUGCCUUGAAACACAGGUUCCACUACUGGUCUACGAGUUCAUAUCGAACGGCACUCUUUCCGACCAUCUCCAUGUUGAAGGCCCUACAUUGUUGUCAUGGAAAAAUAGAUUGAGGAUUGCUCUUGAAGCUGCAAGCGCUUUAGCCUACUUACAUUCAUCCGCUUCAGUAUCAAUAAUUCAUAGGGAUGUUAAGUCUGCUAACAUAUUGCUUGAUGGUCGCUUAACAGCAAAAGUUUCGGACUUUGGAGCCUCUCGAGGCAUUCCGGUUGAUCAAGGUGGUGUGACAACAGUGAUCCAAGGCACAUUUGGAUAUCUUGAUCCUGAAUACUAUCAAACAAGUAGAUUGACCGAUAAGAGUGAUGUGUACAGUUUUGGUGUCAUACUCGUGGAGAUGCUCACAAGGAAGAAGCCUACUGUUUUUGAAUCAUCAGAUAAUGUCAGCCUAAUUGCACUUUUUAAUUUGCUAAUGGUACAGGACAACAUCUACGAGAUAUUAGACCCUCAGGUAAUUUCGGAGGGCAUGGAAAAUGUGAAAGAAGUCGCGGCGCUAGCAUCGGCAUGCCUAAGAUUGAAGGGGGAAGAGAGGCCAACAAUGAGGCAAGUGGAGAUAAGGCUGGAAAGGCUGUUAGGCGGUGACAUUUUGCAAGGGCUUUCAGCUGAGCUGCACUGUCUACCACCUCAACUGAGCAAUACCGACACUACUAGCAAGCUAUACAACAUGGAGCGGGAUUUUUUGCUAUCGUCGAGCUUCCCACGGUGAUCUUACUACAUGUGUACAAACUACAUACAACUUUACCACUUAAAGUUGUUUAGCAUGUGUUUGAUUUGAAGAUGAGGUGAGAUGUGUUAGAUGAAUUGGGAUCACCUGCAGUGGCUAUAGAAAGUGAUAUCCGAAACCUUCCUGAAUCAACUCAAAAAAAAAAAAAAAAGAAAUCUUCCUGAAUACUGUUCACAAAAGACAGUACCAAGGUUUCUCCUGUAGGCUGUAGCUAGAACUGUAGCAGAUAAUGUUUAAAACUACACUGUAGCGUCGGUUUCAGUCGUUAUUGUCUUGAUCCAAGGAUGGAAAAGAGUUUCUACUGGCAAAGUUGCAGUCUCUGUUAUGACUGCAUUGGAUCUUUAUCCUGAUCCCAAUUAUUCAUUUGACAUGAGUCAUGACCUCGUGAUGUAAUACAACCCUACAACUACAAGCAGCUCUGUAGCAUCAAUGUUGCUGCCUCUGCCGCUGCCGCUUCCACAACUCCCAUGGCUUUCUUUGUUGAUCUUGCCUCUAGCAGUACUGAAGUACAAAUACUGCGUAAUUUCAGGUUGAUACAGAAGAUGUUCAGUUUUGCUAUUUCCAGCGACUUGUUCCAAGUCCAUGUCACAUCGGAUAUUUGGACACUAAUUUGGAGUAUUAAACAUACACUAAUUACAAAACCCAUUUCAUAAGCUUGGACUAAUUCGCGAGACGAAUCUUUUGAGUCUAAUUACGUCAUGAUUUUGACAAUGUGAUGCUACAGUAAACUUUUGAUAAUUAUGGAUUAAUUAGGCUUAAAAAAAUCAUCUCGCGGAUUAGCUCUUAUUUAUGAAAUUAGUUUUUUUAUUAGUCUAUGUUUAAUACUCUAAAUUAGCGUCCAAACAUCCGAUGUGACAUUUGGUCGAGUAGAUGCCUGUGAAAAGUACAAGUAAAGAUCAAUAAUAGUAUAAUACCAUUUGGGCUAAAUCAUAAUUUCGAUCUGAUUCGUAAUAUGAACUAGAUAAAUACUCUGUCACGUUGUUGCGGGAAAUUAAGUUGCACAAUAUGUACAAAUAAGAUGAAAUAUGAAUAUUAAAAAUAAAACAAAAUGGUACUUAUGAAUUUUGAGGCCUAAAAAUAAUUGAGAUUACUUGGUGUUAUGAGAGAAGAAAGAAGAGACACUGGUCGUGACACUAUCGUGAAGUCGUGACACUGGUGACUUGGAUAAUUUGGAAGGAACAGAACAACCGAAUCUUCAAUCAACAACAAAGGUCUUGGACCGAAGUGGCGAAAGCAAUGGCAGAGGAGGCCAUGCUUUGGAAGUCGGCUAAUCACGGGAUCCCCGCUGUUUGGCCUUUACGAGGUCGUGGUAGCCAAAUUUAGCGCGAGAUAUUCCUAUAGUUUUUCAUAGUAUCCUGUAUUGGUCCCCUGCUUGUUUUCCUUUUAUCAUUGUAAAUAACUUUUAUUUCUCUUAAUGAAAAAAAUGCGCUCCUUGCGUAUUCCCGAAAAGAGAGAAGAAAGAAGACAAUUUGAACCAUAGAUCUAUCAUCCAAUGGCUAAAAAUAAUUGGAGUGACGUGACUUAAUGAUAGAAGAGAGAAAUAACAUUAAUUACACUUAGUGGGGAUGAACUAUAUAAGCAUAUAGGAUUCCACAUAAAACAAUGGUUUUUAUUGAUUAACUAUGCAGGAUAUUCUAGUAACUGGUAAAUCGCCAGAAUAGCAGUAUGCAUGCGUAUGAGUGACGCUUUCACGUUUCAACUUUCAAGCAUUUCACUACCCCACAAUUUAAAAGGCAUGCAUCUAACAAUAAUACACCAAGAUGAGUAAACACCAAUGAUGUUGGGACAGUGAAGAAACCUAUACCUUUUGACCUUUCACUCUUAGUUUGUACUAAGAGUUUGUACUAAGGCUUAUUCACUUUGCUAUCAUUUUUAACUUUACCAAGUUUUAGCAUUGCUAAAUUUAGAUAAGGUUAUCAAAAUUUUGGCAAGGUUGCCAAAUUUUGGCAAAAUUUCAUAUGUACUUACUAAAAUUUGACAACAACUAAAUGUAGCCACUUUUUGGGUAAUUUUGCAAAAAACAAAAGGUAAGGUUGAAAAUGGUAGCAAAAUGAACAAGCCCUACAAUUAAGUGGAUGCGCGCAACAAACAAUAUAAGGAUUUAGUAUGAGUGUUAAACAUAUAAUUUUACAGAGAACAUGCAAACGUUGAAAAUUAUACUUAUGAACAAACAACUCAUUUGUGAGAAAAAAGUCAGCACACAAAACUACAUUCAAUAAGCGAGAAAAACAUUAAGUUCAUGAACAUGUAUGAACCAUCAUAGCAACGAUCUGGCCUAUCAUGAACGCCUGGUAACCCAGCUGCUUUCUUAACAAAAUGUGACUGGGUUUAAAUCUACCUAAUAAAAAAACACUUAUGUGUUUACAUAUAACUAAGACAAAGUGAUUUCUGUUAGAAUAUGAUAGCCAUUUUCAUUUAGUGCAUAUCUUUGAUCUAUUUAAAUAUUUUUUUCUUUAAACAUUAUAUAUUAAUCUAGGGCUCUUAUAAUGAAUAUAGCAAGAUAUGAUUUCUUUUAGUAUUCUUUUUAUGAACAAUAAAUAAAUUGCCCACACAUCUGCAUAGGCUUCCUCUGUAGUUGCUAAAAAAACCUCCAAAGUGUUUGGGCCACGUCUUUUCCCCCUAAAACGUACCCCUUCUAGCCUUCCGUCUCAUAAAAAACUCAAUCCUAACUACGAACCUUGACACGCAUUUAUUCAGAUUCGUAGUUAGGAUUUAUUUUUUAGACAAAGUUGUAUAUGCUAAUGUCAUAACUAAAAAUUAUUUUUCAAGUUAAUUUUGAUGUUGUUAUCUUACUUUUUUUUCUAACGUUGGUGUUAAAGUCAUUAAGAAUACAUUGGUAAAAGUUUUAAUCAUAAAUUAUUUUUUAUCGUUAAAAUGUUGUUUGGCGUAUCAUUUGCAAUUGGCCAACCAAUGACAACCUUUAUCUUUCAAAACUUUUAAUUUUGUUUCCGUCGGAUUUAUCUUCCAAAACAAAAAGGAAAAAAACAAAUCAGUUUUUAUCUUCCAAAACUUUCAAUUUUAUGACCGGCGACAUUCGUUCCAGGAGAAAACAAAAGGGAAUCAAACCCUCGACCAGCAAGUUGCAAAGUUCCAUCUCUAGCCAUCUGGAAAUAUGGUUGGUUUUAAUUAGUUAUAUGCGAGUUACGUAUAAGUUACAUUAUAAAUAGUUAAAAAAUAUAAUUACAUCUCAUUUACACUAUAGUUAUAUUUGAAAGUUUUUUUUACCCCAAAAUUAUCAAAUGUUUAUAUAGCUAUUUGCCAAAGUGGUUAAUCUCUAUAUAUCACGUUUAGAGUUAUAUUACCAUGUUUUGCCACUUUCAUCGUAUUGCCAACAUAGACCGAGGAUGGAAAACAUUCUCUUUGUCCCGUCUUCUCCAUCAUCUUCUUUUCAAUCUCUCCUAAUGCACAACUGAUAGUCUAGGAGAGCAACGGAGAACCAGUUGCCUCCUCUCCUCUAGCUCCUCCAUCUCUUCUCUCUCAUGCGUGCGCAUUGCUAUUGUCGUCGUCUCAAUCUUUAUCUUGAGCCUCUUGGCGUCCUCACAAGGUGGCUAUUUGAGCAGUGUAGGGGAGUUAUUGGGGUAGGGCGUGGUCACAGUCGUAAGCGAAGAGAGGAGAUGAGGCGGCCGCUCGAGCUCGGUGCCGCCGCGUGCACAACUCCUUUCCCGUCGGUCGUCGGCCCCCAACCACUGACCGCUGCCCUUCUCCUCGGCGUGUGGCCGCCCUGGAAAGAUGGGGAAGAGCGGGGAAACCAAUAAGACAGGUCCUUGACAUGUGGGGGUGACAUGUCACACGCUGACUCAGCCUCGCCAUGUUAGUCGAAAUUUUUAAGUUCUAUACAAACUUAUAACUUAUGCUAUACUAAGUCGGAUAUGUAAAUUAUUUUUAGAGUAAAUCUCAUAAAACUACAAUUACUUUAGCCAAAUUAUCAGAAAACUACAAAUUUAACAUGAUGUAUCACAAAACUACAUAUUUAACCCUAAAUUUAUCACAUAACUACAUAUUUAAGUUGGAAUAUUGCAAAACUACAAAUUUAGUAACAAACUUAUCACAAAACUACAUGUUUAAUGUCAAUUUGAUCGCAAAACUUGAAUAUUUAUAACCCAAACGUAACAUUGGUGCUAAGGAUUUAAACCGAAAAUCUAUAGUUUUGUGAUAAUUUUAUUAUUAAAUCUGUAGUUUUAAGGUAAUUUGACCAAAGUAUCUAUAAUUUUCUAAAAUUUACUCUUAUUUUCGUUAUAAAAAAAUCUAGUUUGUGGAGCCACCAAAUAAGCUCUGAAACACAGCUAGACCCGUUAGACACUUCAACGAUCAAACAAUAGGGAAGUCUCCAUUUGUGAAAUCUGUGGUUGCCGACAAAAGAAAUAUGUGGCGUGGCUUCACUUCUCAAGUUUUAGAUGGCGGGGCAGGAGCACUUAGGCCGUCGGUUGGGGAAGAGAGGUAGAGGGGAAGGAGGUUGGUCGGGGUGGGGGGAGGGGGGGCUCACCUGCAUCGUUGACCCCUUCCUGCCAGCCGACGAGGCUGGGUACUGGCGGAGUGUGGGGCGGGACGGCGAAGGCAUCGCACGCGCACGAGCUCGCGAGAGGUGGCGGCGGUGCUGGAAUGAUGAGGGGGGAAGGGGGUUAGGGAUAGAAAUAUUACACACGAAAUCAGAAAUCUUAAAAUGGUCCAACGGUCUAGAAUUUGUAUGAUUUGUGAGAUGUUUUUCUGUCAUAUGUCAUCUAGACAGUCCCAUAUUUCAUUAGAAAUACACAAGUGCUCUCUCUUGCACACUGAUGUGUGUGAUCUCACUCUCAGAUGGUGACAACGAAUGGGCUACGAACUGUAUGCUUUCCAUCCGACCACGUUAUUGACCCAAACAGGUCCCCUUUGGCCGCCGCCGCGGCGUUCUUGCCGGAGAAGGACACCUGGAAACCCAGCUUCUUCACGCUCUUAGUGAACUCCAGCUUGCCGGGCACCACCUUCACGUCCAGGCCGGCCGGCGCCGCGACGGCGACGGUGUAGGUCGCCUCCUGCUGCGCGCCGACGUUGGUGACGACGCGGCUCACCGUCCUGGUGCCGCCGGCCUUGCCGAGCCCCGUGACGGCGAUCGACGGGUAGUUGAGGCCGGAGAUGAGGUCCUUGCUGUCGCUGGCGUUGCCGCCGGCGCCGCAGCUGAAGCCGCCGGGGAGGGAGGCGGCGACCAGCUUGAUCUGGGACGCGUCGUAGCCGUAGUCGCAGAGGAACUGGAGGUAGUCCUCCUCGCCGAGCUCGUACACCAGCCCGGCGUCCAGCGCGGCGGCCGGGUUCACCUGGCCCGCGCCGUGGUCGUACGGCGUCGCCGGCGACCCCGAGUCGGUCGUCACGGCCGCCCCGUCGUUGUUCAGCUGGGCCGCCGUCGUCAUGAUCGCCGACCGGAUCGCCGCAGGGCUCCACGCCGGGUUCCACGCCCUGACGGCGGCCGCCGCCCCGGCCACGUGCGGGCAGGCCAUGGACGUCCCCGACACGAGGUUGAACUGCGACGGCUUCUCCUCGCCGGCCGGGAGCGUCGACGUCGGGAUCCAUGACGCCAGGAUGUUCACCCCCGGCGCCGCCACGUCCGGCUUGAGGAUGUUGGGCGUCUGCGGCGACGGGCCUCUCGAGGAGAAGUAGGCGACCACCGGCGCCGGCUUGUACUCCGUCACGGUGAUCGUCGGCGUGAUGGUCACGACAGGCUCACUUUGCAGUUUAAUUGAUCACCAUGCACGGAAGAGAGAGUGAUGUGAUGAGAUCGAUCGAGCUUAAUUAAUUCUGCCACUAAUUAGGGUAUACUUCAUCCAUUUUUUUAAUAUAUAACACCAUUGAUAUUUUAAGAUAUAUUUAACCAUUCAUUUUAUUAAAAAAUAAUGUAAUUAUCAUUUACUCCCUCUGUCCUAAAAAUAUAACAACUUUUAACAUUUAGAAUUUGUCUCAAAAUAUAAUAACUUAUAUACCAGCAUUUUCUUCUCAACCAAUUACAAUCCUCUACCAUUUAAUUUUCUCACAUACCUUCACUUCUCAUCUAAUCGUAGCCUAAUCCUAUUUAGUUAUAUCUAUUUUCUUAAUAGUUGUGUUCAACUCUAAGAAUAUAUGCUUAUAUUAUAGGAGAGAGAGAAUAUUGUAAUGUAACUUGAUUUAUUACCAAAUGUUUUAUAAAUAUAACUUAAAUAUUUUUCUAUUUGAAAAAAAAAUAAAGGUGAAUGAUUAAAUGAUUGUUAAAAAGUUAACGAUGCCAUAUAUUAAAAAACGGAGGUAGUAUAUAAUCGCUAUAGUGUGAAGGACUACGUAUAGUACCUGGUGGAGGAGAUAUACUUGUGAAUGUCGGCGGCGGCGUUGGAGGUGAUCUCCGUGACAGGGAAGUCGAUGUAGGCGGUGGCGACGGCCUUCUCAAGGUCGUCGACGAGGACGGCGCCAACCGCGCCGGCGCUCUUGAGCUCCCCGACCUUCUCCGUCUUGGGCGUGUCGCUGUUCCGCGAGUGGUGACACAGCACGAUCUUCCCUUUUAUCUUGCUCGCAUCCAGCGUCCCCGGCUCACAGUGACUACAAAUUAUUUUGUGGUUAUGAUUUGAUUUUUGGGCAUGAAACUACUUACUCAGAUUCUGCUGAAACUUUCUGUUAAUUUAAUUUUGUUUCGUUACUAAGCUUGCCUUGUAGUACGUACCUUGCUGACUCGGUAUCAGAAACUGAGCUGGACUUGGCUGAUUCACCGGUGAUCAAUGGAUAUUUUGGUGAUUUGUUCAAGUUGGAGAAGUUUAUAGCUCCACCCUACAGAUUCCAUAAAAAUGGGGUAGUUAAGAUCACAAGAGAGUGCUCCCACAAGGAUUUUAGACGGAUGAGAUAUUAGAAAUAGAUGAGAUUUUUUCUAAUACAACGAAUCUGGGAAAAAGAACAUGUCCAGAUAUAUUUAAUUUUGUGAUAUAUACCUUGACAGCGGUGUUGUUGCCGCCGAGCACGACGUCCGAUUGGAAGUAGCGGUCGAUCGUGCUCGCCGCGACGGUAAGGAUCCACGGCGCCGCGUUCACGACGGUGGCGGCGUCCGGCCCUGCGUUGCCGGCGGAGCAGACGACCAUGAUGCCCUUGGCCACGGCGUGGAACGAGCCGAUGGCGAUGGGGUCGUCGGAGAAGUCCGGGCGGAAGUAGGGCGACGCGCCGAGGGAGACGGAGAUGACGUCGACGCCGUCGGCGACGGCGUCGUCGAACCCGGCGAGGAUGGCCGACCCGGCGCACCCCUCCCCGGAGCAGACGCGGUACAUGGCCACCCUCGACGACGCCGACCCGCCCUUGGCCGUCCCCGCCGCGAGGCCGUAGUACGACGCACCGGUGACCGCGUUCCCGGCCGCCGUCGACGAGGUGUGCGUCCCGUGCCCGGCCUCGUCCCGCGGCGAGCUCCCGCUGCUCCGUGCUGACUGCCGCUUCGCCUCGCCGCCGACAUCGUAGUACCUUGCUCCUAUCAGCUUCCUGCAUGCGCCGCCCGGGAAACAUCAGGAUAUAUACUCUCCGUUUCAUAUUACAAGUCAUUUGUAAUGACUUUUUUCUUAGUUAAUUUUUUUAAGUGACCAAAUUAUACUACUUCCGUUUCAGAUUAGAAAAUGUUUUGACUUUGGUCAAAAUCAAACUACUCUAAAUUUGACUAUCUUUAUAGAAAAAAGUAUAAUAUUUACAAUACCAGUAUAAUUUCGUUAAAUCUAUAAUUGAAUAAAUUUACAUAAUAUAUCUGUCUUGAGUUAAAAAUAUUACUAUUUUUUCUAUAAAAUUAGUCAAAAUUAGAGUAGUUUAAUUUUGACCAAAGUCAUAACCUAAAACAGAGGGAGUAGAAGUAGUAAAUUUUCAAUGUAAAACCAACAUUGUAUCAAAAUAUACGUCAAAUUAUGAAACUAAUUUUGUAUCAUAAAUGUUGCUAUUUUUUUAUAAACUUAAUUAAACACAAAAGUUUUAACUAAGAAAAAGAAAAUCAAAUUUCUCUGGCAUAGGCGUCGGCGACUCACCGGUUGCAGCUGGAGGAGUUGAAGUCAUCGCCGGCCAUGCAGACGCCCUUCCACCUGGCGGGGACAGGGCCAAAGCCGGCGUCGUCGAAGCUCGGGGACUCGGGCCAGACGCCGGAGUCGAGGAGGCCGAUGAUGGUGUCGGCCGUCGGGGACGACGACGUCGACGCUGAUGCUGCGGCGGCGCGGGCGCGGGGCGAGCGGCGGCGGCGGUGGGCGGAGCCGCCAGUCUUGACGUCGACGGCGGCCGUCGUCUGCUGCUGGAGGAAGUCCCAUGACCUGGUGGUGUGGAGGUGGUAGACAGGGUCGGCGAAGACGGAGACGACGCCGGGCUUCCGGCGGAGCGCGGCGGCCUCCGCCGCUGACAGCCGCGCGGCGAAGCCGGAGAAGGCGUACUUGUACUGCUGCACCACCACGCUCUCCACUGGCUGCCCCCUGUUCGCGUAGUGCACACAUGACACGGUUACUAACGUGUGGCACAAUGACGUCGACGUGACGUGACACACGCAACACACGUGUUGCGUUGGUGAUCACUUUGUGCUACUGAGGUUUCCUUUUACCAAUAAUAUGCAUCCCAAUAUCUUUGGGCAUAAAAUUCAGAACCGUUUGACGAAAAUUCUCUAUCUCCAUAUCUACUUCUUUAUCUUUAUCUUUAUUUUUUCUAUUAUCAAAAUUGAAAAUAAAUUUGUCGGUACUUUGAUACGUUAUCCGUGUUUUAGUCGGUUUUUAAAUUUAUUUGCUUUUGAAAAUAUAGAAGAAGUCAUAUAAAAAAUAUCCAAGUAAAUUCUCACAUUUUAUUUCACCAUAAUUAAGCCAUAUAACGAUAGUAAGAUUAAAAUAAUCUUCAACCAUUGAAAAUAGUUAAAGAGAAAGACAAUGUUAAAUUAACAAGAAGUGCAACACUGUAGCAAAGUGAGAGAAGUGUACACGGGUUUUUAAAUUAACGUAACAAUGUCUGCUUAUUUUAAUUUAUAUGGAGUUUUUUUUUAGAAAACUGCUACCUCUAUUUCACAUUAUAAGAUGCUUUGUUUUUUUAAGUCAAAUCAUAUAUGUUUGAUCAAGAAAAACAUAUAAAUAGUUUUUAUACUAUACAAUCGUACUAUAUUCAAUAUUUGGAAAAACACUAGUGGUGUGGUAGCGGAGUCGUGAGUGUAUGAUUCUACUAACCAGGGUUCAAAUUCUGGUGCCCACGAAUAUUAUGCACAUGCAUGUAGACUUUUAAUAGAAUUUUAGUGAGAUAAGGGAUAUGUCGAUGGUCUGCAUGUGCUUUUUAACAGGAUUUUUGUUAGAUCAAGGAUGUGCCGUUGGUUUCUAUCUCUUAGAGCAUAUGUUAGGGGGGGGUCCAUUUGUGAGGGUGUGAGUGCGGUGCUGCGUAUGUAGUGGCGUGUGUAUGUCUAUCGUGAUUUUUUUUUAAAAAAUCAGUAUUUAGAUUGAAUGGAACUAACACAGUAUCGUAGAACUUGUUACAUUUUUCCGUAAACUUGACCAAACGUAAAGAAAUUUAACUUUAAAAAAUAAAACAUCUUCUAAUAUAUAAAGAAAUUUAACUUUGAAAAAUUAAAACAUCUUCUAAUAUAAAACGGAGAGAAUAUAUUUAAUGCCAUGCUACAAAUCGGCAAACUGAGCGAGUACCUUCUUAUUGACUGACAUGCAUGCUACUGCUAGCUAGUGCAACUUGAGAGACAUUAGCACCAACAGGAAGAGAGUUAAAAAUUAAUUUAUUUUACGAUGGACCUUUUGAGCACGGCGCCGAUGAGGCGGAGAUGGGUCUGCUGGAGGAUGUUGGGCGAGGUCCGCGGUGGCACGGCGCCCAAGUACACCACGUAUACCCCACGCCGCUCGCCGCCGCCGCCAUUUCCUCCUCCAGCCGCGGCACCACCACCACCGCUGGCGCCGGCGGCGAGCAGCAAGGCCAAGACGAAGCAGAUCAGCGGCAGCAACCACAUGAUUGCUCGUAUAAUUUUUAUUUGUACUGCACCGGCCGGUCAGUUCAAGCUCUGCUCUCUCUCUCUCUCCCCCUCUCUCUCUCUCUGGCCACGAAACGAUCGCACUAUGUAUGGCUGCAUUUAUAAGCGCGCGCGUGCGACGUCGUCACGUCCGUACGUGCCGGUGACCGGAGGUAAUAAGAGCAGUAUAAACAUACGUGAAGGAGAUAAGAGAGAGGAGAGAAGAAAAACGGGUUAUAGAUAUACAUCGCUGUAGCACGAACUUUAAAAUGUAUGUGUAUAUAUAUGUGUGUAUAUAUAUAUAUAUAUAUGAUAUGUAGGACCAAUUAUCAUGGUGUAUUAUAUAUUUGUAAUUAACUAGUAUAAAUUAGUUAUUAGAUAGACUAUAGAUGAUUUAGAGUUAGUAGUUGGCUGGAGUAUACUACUCUUUCUGUUUUACAACGUAAGUCAUUCUAGCAUUUACUAUAUUUAUAUUGAUAUUAAUGAAUCUAGACAUAUAUAUCUAUUUAGAUUUAUUAUCAUUAAUAUAAAUAUAGAAAAUGUUAGAAUGGAAGUAUUGAGGUAGUGGUCGCCUGGUGGGAUCGGAUCGGAUCGGAUCAGCCGGCGCUUGCGCGUGCGUGCGCAUGAUAUGUGGCUGCGAGCGCGAGGGGUAGGUUAAUUGUGGAUCGGGUGCGCCGUGAUGGUGCGUGCACCACUGCGCUGCGCUGGCUAGCUACUCGAGUAGAGUAGAGUAUAGUAUAUCACUAGUCUUGGAGUGCAGCCGCGCACUAGUGCGCGAUCUCACCUUCUCUCGAGCAUGCGCCGAGCCUAAAUAGCUACUAGUAGUAUAGACAAAGUUACCUAGUUGCAUUCUAGUACCAUCCACAUAUUUUUUGUCAGGAUUCAGUAAGUUCAUCAUCAUAUACUCCGCUAAUGUCUGUACCAAAUCCUAAGUGUAAGCAGGCUUAUCAUGUUUGACAUCCCCAACUAGUGACAACAAUAAUAUCACAAGAUGAAUAGUAUCUUUCAAGUUAGUUUGGAAACAUCAAUGACUUCCCCAAACCUAAUCCAAAAUAAGUGUUCUAUCUCUCCUUUACGUUCCUUGAUUCAAUCACCAUAAUUCGUCCUACUUUGACAUGAACAAGGUUUGACACAACCUAGUAUAUGCAAAACAGAUUAUUUUACUUGCCCAACACAAUACGGAGCAUGGACAUAUAUAAGCGCAUUUGCCAUGACACUAUCGUUCAUCACCAAAGAAGAGAGGGAAAAGAUGGGCUCACAGAGCUGUUGCCAUGUUAAAGCACUAUUCAACAGAAUGAAGCCCAGAUGCCUUCAAGAGGAGCAGCAGCAUAACAAGACCAGAACAGUCAAGGCAGAAAUAAGGCAAAACACUCUUCAAGACAUCUUGUAUUCUCCUCAGAGCUUUCAGGGGGAGGCAAUUGGAGCCCCAUCACCUCGGAGGCACUCUCCAAAGGUUUGCCCAAUUAACCCGGAUUGUUCUUAUGAAAAUAAUUCUCCUAACAUCCGGGACAGCUUCUCCAUCGAUAGAAUCUCUAUUAGGAGCCAAAACAGCAUGAGGAGAGUUAGCUUCAGAUUACCUGAUGAAUCUGACAUAUUCAUCAUUCCCGCACGCGAAGAUCCUGAAAGUUGCUCCACUGAUGACGAAUCUGUUGAACAUGUAAGUGAACAAGACAUUGAUGCAAGGAAAAUCCGUUAUGCUAAAACCAGAUACUAGCAGCACUGCCACUGCUCUCAUGUACCUAGCAAAAAAGAAUACAAGAAAAGAAGCUUCAAAGAACAAACUCAUUGGUUGAUCUAUUCCAAAGAAGAUACUCAUGUUAUGCAGUAAUAUUAGUGUGUGCCUGCUUGGGUGCUUGUUGCUUCUCAAGGAUUAUACUGUACGACACUUCAGAACAAACUCGUAACUUAUCUAUUUUUCAAGAGAACGUACUCAUGGUACGCAGUACACAGUAAUAGAAGUGUAUGCCUGCUUGUUGCUUUCAAGGAUGAAACUGUACGAUAUUUUACAACUUAUUGGAUUUCAUGCAGAUGUAUGCGUUUCAUGAUUUCAGUUUAUUUGGCCUUCAGAUUCUCCAACGUAUUGUAAUACCCAGCUUUUUACACCUUUUCUUAUUCUUUUUUUUAGACGGUUAAACAGCAGAAUAGGCUCCUACUGUGAUAUAUUAAAAUAUAAUAUGUACAUGAGAGAGAUAGUACAAGGGGGGGCGGGGGGAAUAAAAAAACAGCAGAAAGAGAGAGAUUUUAGCUAACCUUUUCUUAUUCUGGAAGCUGGAGAGUGUCAAGAAAAUGUUAUGUAUGUUACUGAAUCACCUUUGGCAUGUAUAAUAUAGAUUUUUCCAUCACAAUAAUCAUUUAGUUAUAAUGCUAUAUAAACUUUAUUUUCUAAUAUAGAAAGAUAGGAGAUAUAAAUGCCACAUACAAAAGCCAAACAGCACAAACCUAUUAAUUCUGUCCCUUUUUCCUCAUGAAUGGCCAAUUCCUAGUGUAAGUAACUCAAGUUAUUCUCAGCAAGUAAGGGUGAGAAGCACAGCUGACCUACUUCUAUACACUAUCUAUAGUCAGAUUUGAAGCCUUCCGUCAGUGCAACAACCUUUGAAGAUAACUUUGACUGUAGUUUGGAAACAGCUUGUCUAAUAUCCUACAAAAUAAUCAUUUGGGUCAGAUUAGUCUAGAAUCCGCAACUAUUAUUUUUAGGAAACACUGGAUUCCCAAUGAUUUAUAGGUUAGUGAUUACAUACCUCAAGACUAUAUCGAUUUGAGAAAUGUGUCAGUACAAUGGCUUUGUUUCUAAACCAUUGGGAGUGCUCCAUUAUCUGUAGACGACAUACCAGAUUUGCAUUAAUGCAGUAAUACUUUAUACAGACAUCUCAUUUAACUAUCAGAAUUGUCCCAAAGCUCAUUAGAAUCAUAGCAUGGCAGGGAGAAAGUGACAAGUGCAUCAUCAUUUACCUCAGAGAGAUGCAUGUGGCCAUGCUCCCGAGCAUGAUCAACAUCAAUUUGGUCAUCUAGGAAGGUUGCCUGUGAAAAGGUCAAAUAAUGUUGGUGCCAAAGCAUUCAAUAGGGAGGACAUUUGAAAUUAUUUUGUCAUGUUUCAGAUUUGAUGGACCCUCUGAUCAAAUAAAAAGGAAGUUCUUUUGUUAUUUUACAGUCUGAAGAUGUGACAAAUCAAUAUAAUAGGGUGGUUUUACUUAGACUGCCUUUUACUGUUCUCUGAUAUUUCAAGACUAUAGCUGUAUUAUACUACUCUCCCAAUCCCAUAAUAUAAGGUGUGGUCAAUGUUGGCACGGUCUCCAAAACUAAUCUUUAGCUUAUAAUUUCUCAUAUACUAUAAGAUUUGUAGCAACAAAAUUAUAACCACAUGAAAGUAAAUUUAGAUCUCAAUCUAAUGAUGUAAUCUUUAACAAACAAAAUUCAUUUUCAUAUUAUAUUAAGUGUUGGUCAAAUGUUUUAAAGGUUGAAUCUUGAAAUUCGUGCGCGCCUUAUAUUAUGGGAUGGAGGGAGUAUUAUACUUCACACCCUUUUUGCUGACUUUGACAUGUCCCAUGAGAAUGAUUACAUCUCUAAAUGUGACUGAUUACAUACAGCUGGAACAAAUACUUUUGACAGGCUUGGGAGAAAGGGCAAUAAUCAAGGAAACUAAAAUCUAAAGCCAAUACCUCAGUUAUAAGGACUUUUGCUCUCAGGGCAUCUGCAUUUCGUGGGUCAAGAAUAAAAUCAGACUUUGUGUCACCUGUAAAGGCAACUUCUGGAUAUAGUAUAGUAUCUGUAAUCUGACAGAAAAGAAGGCAGUGAGUAACAGUGCAGAAUAUAUUUCUUAUAUAGAACAGAUUGCUAGCUGACCUCAGCGCCUGAUUGCUUCAUUUUCAUUAUUUGAUUACCCUUCAAGUGAGCAUACUGUUUUUUCAACUUUCUCCGAACAGAGUAGAUGACAUAACCCUGUGAAUGUACACAACCCGCACAAGGGGCGAAAUAGUUAUUAAGCACUAAAUUGUCCAAGAAAGGUGAGAACUAGAACUUUUGGCUUGCUAACUAUACUUAAAUUGACCUAGGGAGUUAUACCUGGCUGGGUAUAGCAUGGUGAGUCUCAAAUGGUCUGGCAACAAGGUCAUUACGUAUUUCAAAUGUCUCCCCUGAAUGCAAUCGUAGAAACAUUAGAAAUAAACAAGGAGAGAGAAACACAGAAAGAAGAGGUGAAACGAGCUCAAACCCAAAUCAAGCGCAACCAAUUCCACUUUAAGGUCGACUUGACUCAUUCUACGAUGGAUUUGAAGUAGAUCCUCAACAUCAUCCUUGAUACAUGGUGGUACAAAUACAACGGGUGGCUUCAAAUUAUAGAGGCCACGAGUUGCUAUGUACAUUGGGAGACCACCCUGAACAAUCAAAAUAACAAAACUGAGGUGGAUAUGGCUGCAUUUAUGUUGUGAUUCUGUUAGAGCAGCAAAUGGAAAAACUGACAGUGAAGCAUAUUCGUCAGUUUAAAGGGAAAAACAUUGGAAAAUUCUCCCGUUGCUAUGCAAAGGAGAAAUAUGUUGGCACAAUCAUGAUUUUCUUGACACCGCUCCAAAGUAAAAGCAGGUAUAGAGCAAGAUGAGACUAUUUAUUAUUUAAGAAUUACACGCAGACUAACUUAGGCCAACUUAUCAGAAGAAUUGGUGAUAAAAAUCCUAUCCAUCACGAAUUCACGAUAGCAUGUUGUUGAACAAAUAAACUAAGCAGACAUUUACUAAAGGCCACAGUCCAAAUAGUAAAUUAAGCAGGCAUUUCCCCGGUGACAAUUCCCUUGAAAUUACUGAAUCAAUCCCCUUACAUCAGCUUUUCUAUGAAACUUCACCGAUGGCGCACCCAAGCUUAGCUAGAGGCGCAGUUGCCUCUACACGAAAUUCACGAAGCACAAGCAGCACAGGAAUGAAUCAAACCAGGACAGGGCUCGGGGCGCUCACGAUGUGGUCGAGGUGGGCGUGGGUGAUGAAGAGGUAGUCCUGGCUCACGGCGAAGAGCGGCCCGCGGCCGAUGUCGAAGGCGACGUUGAGGGACGGCACGGUGACGCAGGUCUCGUGCCCGCCGACGGAGACCCCCUCGAUGGCGUACCCCUCCACCUCCACGCCCUUACGGUGCACCUGCGCGCGCGCCCGGCGGUACUCCUCCUCGUCCGCCAUCGCCCGGUCGAGCACCGACAGCAGCCCGCCGCCCGCUCCACGCCCCCCGCCGCCGCCCUCGCCGGUGCCCGUGGCGACGGCUGCCUUCUUCGCGGCGAGCGUUUGGAACUGGGAGCGGGAGGCUGGGGCGGACGACGACGCGGGGACGAGGAGGCGGUGGGUGAGGCGGAGCGAGGGGAGGGAGAGGAGGGAGGUGGCCGCCAUUUCCGGCGGCGGAGGCGGAGGCGGAGACGAACGGUGGCGACGGCGUCGUGGGGUUUUCUGGGUUUUGGGGGGAACUCGACUCGAGGAUAACGGAGAGUCAUUUUUGCGGGGUAGCCCCUGUCUUAUCCUAAAAUUGUUUUUCCAAUUGGAGGAGGAGGAGGAGGAAGAGAGUCACUGACCCCUGAUUACUCAAGGCCUCAAGGAGCUUCCUGUAAAAUGCCAAAUUCUAUUUGUUUAUUUAUUUAUUUUGAUAGUGUAAAAUGUCAAAUUCAGCUACACUGAAAAUAAAGAGAGAUCAGUUUGUGUUUACAGGUUCAGUGAGGCAGAUUGCAGUGAUAAUUUAUAUCUUACCAAUACAAGAAGUCAGGAAUUGAUACUGGAACGAUGAUACAUUUCCAGAUUAUGGUUAAAUACAGCAAAUUCAGCAUAGAUUACAGAACUGAACACUAUACAGUGGAGUGUACAUUUUUUUUUUUGACAGAACGUGUACAAGUAUAUUGCCAGUUCAUUUGGAAGAAUUGUGGGUACAUCACAACCAACCCACCAUUUCUCCAGUAUAGCAGCAGCCUAUUUCUACAGUUCUAUGGUUCCUAGAUUUACAUAUGUACAACUCCUACGGUUAUUUACAAAAGAACAUUAUACAGCAGAACGAAAUAAUGCUAACAUGUUGAGGAAGUAGCACUACACGUUCCAUGGGACAUGGCGAUUUCUGAUGCUUUGCUGAUUGAGCAACAAGCCUACUUCUUGCCAGAUGCUUUCAUUGGCUUAAAUAGGGAGUAUGACCUCCGAUGAAGGCAACAUCAGAGCUAACAAUUAUUCUUGACUGGGAAGUGAGGAUGUAUGCAUCGCUGAUGGAGAACCCCUUGAUGAUAGGCAAUGGGAAGCCUCUUUUGAGAUAUGAAUUCACAUAGGGCACAAACAAUUUUUUCAACAAGAUCUGCAUCACACUCUGCCAAUACAAAAAUUAGAAUCAAUUAGACAUUCAGAAGUUAAGAAACAAAUGUUCACCAAUGAUAAUAAAAUACAUGUGCAGCUCCACAAUUAACAACUUCAUUCAGAAAUUAGGCCUUUCCGCUAUACUAGGUAAAAGAACUUUAUGAAGAAGGCAUUUUCAACCGAAAUUACUUUUUUCUUUCCAAUAGGAUAACGCAUGUCUUAGUUAGCCCCUCAGAGUCCCUCUUGGAAAUUAGGCAUAUCCAUAAAUAUAGGAUGGAGAUUCCCAAGCUCACCUCUUUUCUAUUACACCAUCAUAAAUUACAAACUGUGGAAUGUCAUUAAAUCGUAUAAUACAGGCCAAAAUACCUGAACUAUGAAGGUAUGAAGUUUGCCAACUUUGCUCCACUUCAAGGUGAAUGAGAAAUAAUCUAACUCGACUCUUCCAGCAAGAUUGUUCCCAGAAACCACUGCAGCUCCAGAGACAGUAACUGACUGUGGAAACAAUAUGCGACAACGGUAUCAAAGAGGUGGAAAUUGCACGUGUUUCCUCGUGUAGAAAUGUUUAUGUAUAAUGGAAGUCCAAUUGUAAAUCAACGGAUGAAACAAAAAAAGAAAACAUGAACACAACUCAAUGUGCCAUAGAUUUCAUUUCUAAAAUUCUCAGUGGGAGAAAAUAUGAAAUGCUGAAGGUCAAAGACAACACGGACAGUAUACAAGUGCUGCCAGAUGGUGCAAUACUGUUACAUUUCAAUAUGUUUACUUUCCAUAAGUCAAGCAACUAGCAAUGAAAUCAAAUGAAAUCAGGAAAGGAAAUUAUUAGAAAAAUCUCACCACUGAUAUGCACGCCACUGGAACUAUCUCAUCAAAAUCCAAAACAUUAACUGUGACAUCUAAGUCAACUGCGGCAUCAAUCCUACCCACAUUAAUCCUCACGGAAGGAGGUGAAGUAGCUGAAAUAUUCAGCAGCAUAUCAUCAUUGGGGUACUUCUGAUAUAACCUUGGAAUCAAAAACCUCCAACUAGCAGUAUUCAGGAAGAGCUGAUCAGGAAUUUUAUCCACCAUACGUUGUAGUGAACCAGCCUGAACAAUCCAAGUAUCAUAUCAAUUAGAAUAUAUAUUUUUACAGCUAUUAGCAUAUUUGUUACUCCCUCCGUCCCAAAAUAUAACAACUUUUAGCCCUCAAGAUUUGUCCUAAAAUAUAACAACUUCUCCACCAACAUUCUCUUCCCAACCAAUCACAACUCCCCACCAUUCAUUUUUCCCACCUACUACCACUACUUAACCAAUCACAACCCUCCACCCUCCACCAUUCACUUCUACCUACUUUCUUAGUAACCAUGUCCAACUCUAAAAAUGCUUAUAUUCUGGGACGGAGGGAAUAAUUGUUUCCAUUCAAACAUGAACACGUGUUCAAGUUAGCUACUCUAGACGGACACAAUCAACAAAAUAUAUAUCUUUCUUUUGUGUAAUAUAUAUAUAUAUAUAUAUAUAUAUAUAUCUUUUGACAAAAGCAAGUUCAGAUAAUCCUUCAACUUUACACAUCUGCAGUAAGGCUUUAAUCCUUUAACCAUGAUAACAACCACUUUCUUAUGAAUUCUGAUAUACCUUGAAAUAGAGAGCUGAAACAGAGUUGAAAACAUCUUCAUCCAAUGAAAUCCAUAGCAUUUUUGAAGAGCUACCAAGAGGUGGUACAUAUUUUACACCUCUAAAAUGCAUGUGUCUUGAAACUGCAGUUUUAUCAGAUGGAAUGAACAGUCCAUCGAUAUCAAACUCCACAGAGGAACUCUUGAAGAGUGGAUCACUAACAAAUGUCACAUUCAUAGCAGCGAUGCUAUCAACAUCGAUUUUCUUUGGAAGGCUUCCAAGGAAUGAGUCAAGCUUUGAUGCACCCUCCAUUAUUUUCUUCGUAAUUGCAUUUUCUACUGAUGAUCUGAUAUGAUUACUGAAACCAUCUACAAACCUAGAAAAGGUAAGAGGAAUAAUAUCAAUCCAUGUGGGGUCAGAUAAAUAUCAACAGCAUUCAGGAAUAUAUAGGGCAAUUAUUUUGACAAAAAAAAUUGCAUGAUAUUCUAACCACAGAUAUAAACCAUGUUUCCUAUAUAUAUUGCUGAUGUACAGAAAAAUAGAAUUAGAAUGGGCAUGGCUACCCACAUCGGGCAAUUAUAGGAGUCAUAUUUUGUUUUGUAUUGUGCCACCGAAUAAGAUAGCGAGAAAUCAGAUCAAGAAUGGAACCAUUGGAACCUCCGACAGUACAAGCCCUUGUUCGCUUGGUUCUGGACCAGCCUUUCUUCUCACUUGAUAACAGAUCAUCUAGCUCUCUUUUAUAGUAUAGUCAAAGUCUAUCUGGGCACGGAAGCUAAGCCGGCAAAGAAAAAGGCUUAAUAAGAUGAGUGGGGAAGAAAAAGUAUCCUCUUUCAGGAUAAGGGCUGGAGGAAGCAGGGACUGAACCAGGGCUUGUUGACAGAGCAGAUAUCAAAAGCCUAUGUUAUCUCAUUUUCAGGGACUGAGCAAGGGAUGAGCGCCCUCUGAUCUAACGACCAAACAAGCAAUUUACAGAGCAACCUCAGUUAAUUUGACAAGUUUUUGCAUAUGUAAAAUUGUGAAGCACGUACCCCUGAUAAAACCAAGAUGCUCCUCCGUUCAGUGAUAUGUCCAAGCUCUUCAUAUUACAGCCACAUUCUGUAACGAACAGCUUGAGAGACCCAUUUUGAUUCUUCAUCCCCAUGGAAAUCCCAACAUCCAUUCCAUCAACCUUAGCGAAAAGGAAUCAUGAAUACAUCUUGUACCUUCGUAUAUAUACAUGUCAAGGGUGUCUAGUACUCAAAUAAUACAGGUAAAUAAGGUGUAAGUGCCAUAGGUGACAUUGUUUCGGUGUAAACUUUCAAAAACACAACUGAGACGUUUUUACUUUUUAAAAAAGAAGCAGCUUAUAAUUCCAACAAAUUAACUGAGGAGCAUAUAGGAUAUCUAUGUUAUUGAAAUGUUGCUUGCCUGCUGCAAUGCUGCUAUUUAGGUGCUUAGAAUUGUAAACUCCAUUGAGCUAAAAUGAUCUAGAGAAAAAGUUAAGAUCAUCUUGAAGUAAAUCCUAAGCACAAAUGCCAGCUGCUCCUAAUAGGCAGCCCACAUGUCACCCCAAUAUGCACCGUGCAACAAGUAACCAGCUAUUGUGCCUAUCAAUGUAAAUUACUCAUGUACCAACUAAAGAACUAGAUUUGAAAGUGUCUUCAAAGCUACUCAAUUUCAUAACGUGCUGGAUUCUACUUUACAUACAUGUUUCAUUCCAUACAUGCCAAUAAGCGCAAAUUCAGACACUAAACCACUAAUUUUGAACAUUAACUUGUCAAUCAUGGAAGUCCCCCUCCAAUCUAGCAUCAUCUCUCGAACUGUGAAAAAAACAACAACAAUUGAACGCAUGAAUACCGCGACCCAUACCUGAAUCGAGGCAUUACCGCUGUCAGAGAUCGUGACGACCCAGGCGCUAUAGGAGUAGCUCCACCCCAUAGUAAGAUUAACGCUGGACAGCGACGCGGCCACCACGAUCCCGUCGUCCCCGACGGCGACGGUGGAGUCGUCGACCGCCACGCCGUGGAGGACGAUGCCGGAGGCGACCAUGUCCACGGUGCCGAUGACCGGGAUGCUCACGGACCUCUCGAUGUCGGGCACCUCCAGGGGCACGAUGGCCUCCGCGGCGCGGGACACGAGGAGGUCCUUGACGAAGUCGAGGCCCGACUGGGAGAUGACGGCGGAGAUGUGCGGCGACGCGGAGGCGGCGGAGAGGAAGGUGAGGAGGAGGAGGAGGAGGGGGAGGGUGGGGAGAGGGGCGGCGGCUGCCGCCAUGGCGACGCCGGCGCCGGCGAGGCGAGAGAGGCUAGGGAUUGGGGAGGAGGAGGUGGAGGCGGUGGCCGGAGUGGGAGUGGCGUGAGGGAGAAGGCGGCGGCAUGGGCGCCGCCGUCGGGUAGUCGCGGCGGGUUUGAACGGUCGUCUUCCCCGGGGAGUGGCCGUGGUGACGUGGCAGAGACGUGGCUAGGCGGGGAACAGCGGCGGUAAAUGCCUGUCCAUGGGCUCAUGCCGCGUAUAUCCUCUUGAAAAAUAGGAAUUCAAUAUUUCAUGAUUGAGGCUGUGUUUAGAUGCAGGGUGUAAAUUUUUAGUGUGUCAUAUUGGAUAUAUGAACACAUAUUUAAAGUACUAGCAAAAGUGUCCGUACGUUGCACCGGGUGAUUACGGAGUGUGUAUAUUAACCAAAAGUGUUGUUUGGUUUAGCAAAAGUGCCCGUGCGUUGCAACGGGAAGCGUACAUAUCAGAAAAAUAUGCAAUUAAUUAAAAUACAAAUUCGCUGAAAUAUUUGAUAUUUUUAAGUAGGUAUAUGUGUAUAAUUAAAUAAAUUUACAAGUAAAGUAAGUGUGAGAAAUAACUAUAAUUGUAAUGCUUCUGAAAAAAUGAGCACUAAACAUGAACUUAUUCUCUCUUUUUUUCGGCCCGAGGGACCUAAAAUAGACUUAUUUUCGGCCCUUACCGGUCGGCCCACGGCCUUUUGCGCACGCGUGGGCUCACUUCCCCUCCCCAAGCCGCAACCUGGGCUUGAGCCAGAAAAGUGGCCUCACUCUCGAUCCCUCUUGGGCCGAUUUCGGCCCGGAUGACACCGGCCGUCCGAUUUCUAGGGUUUUGAUCGGACGGCCGAGCGUCGAUAUCGGGGAAACAAAACCCCCUCCCUCUCAGCCGCCAAAACCCUAGCCCAUUUCCCUCCCCUCCCUCCCAUUUCACUUCGCCGCCCUCCCCUCCGUGCCCCCGAGCGGUGGCGGCACCCCUCCCCCCGUGAGCGGCGGCGGUCCGCGGCGGCGCCCUCCCUCCCGAGCAGAGGCGGCGCCCUCCCCCCGCGAGCGGCGAUGGCGUCUCCCCCACCACUGGCGGCGCGGCAACGUCCUCCCCCACCACCGGCAGCGCGGUGGCGUUCUCCCCACCACCGGCGGCUCCCGGGGAGGUGAUCCUCUCAGUCAAAGCCACGGCGGCGCCCCUCCUCCUCUCCCUCUCGGGUCGGCGGUGGCGGGUUGGUGGCGGCCGCGACAGAUCCGAGGGUGGGGGCGGCGGCUCCCUCCACCCCCUCUAGCCUCCCUCCCGCGGCAGAUCCGGUGGCGGCUGCGGCUCCCUUCUCCCCUCUCGCCUCCCUCCUGCCCCAGAUCCAGCGGCGAUGGCGGUGUCGAUGGCGUCGGCGGGUGAGUCCGUCGGCGGUGGCGGCGGCUCCCUCCUCCCCUCUCGCCUCCCUCCCGCCCUAGAUCCGGCAGCGAUGGAUCCGGCGGUAGUGGCGGCGUCAGCGGCGGCGCGCCCACCCCCCACAGCGGCGUCGGCGGCACCCUCCCCCACCACCGGCGGCGGAUCUAGCGGGAGGAGAGGUGCCCCGCGAGCGGCGGCGAUGGCGCCCCUUCUCCCGCGAGCAGCGGCGGCGGCGGAGUCCUCUCCCACCACCGACGACGGCGGCGGCCCUCUCCCCUACCACCGGAGAGCGCCCUCCGCCGCCACCGCCGGCGGAUCUAACGGGAGGGACCGGCGGUGGCGGCGCUCUCCCCUCCACCGGAUCUAGCAGGAGGGAAGCCGCCGGCGGCCAGCCGUCUCUGCGACGGCAAUGGCGACGGCGGUGGUGACCCCCUUGAUCUAAUUUUUGGUUUUGGUUUGGAUAUAUAUGUGUACAUGCAUCAUGAUUUGUGUGAUUGAACUCCGAUUGUGAUUGUUAUUUUUUUCCGGGGUUUGAUUGGAUUCGGAUUGGGAUUUUGGGGGAGGGGGGGCGACGAAGCGGGACGAAAAACCAGUGUGACGACCGGAAAAAUUCGAAUAUUUAUAUUAGUUAUAGAUUAAACAUAGACUAAUAAUAAAAUAAAUUACAGAUUUAGCCUGUAAACUGCAAGACAAAUUUAUUAAGCCUAAUUAAUCCGUCAUUAGCAAAUGUUUACUGUAGCACCACAUUGUCAGAUUAUGGAGCAAUUAGGCUUAAAAGAUUCGUCUCGCAAUUUUAUACGCAAUCUGUGUAAUUAGUUUUUUUCGUUUAUAUUUAAUACUCCGUGCAUGUGUUUAAAUAUUUGAUGUGACAUGGCGAAAAAUUUUGCUAGAGGAUCUAAACUUUUUCGUUUAUAUUUAAUACUCCGUGUAUGUGUUCAAACAUUUGAUUGCUAAGGUGAUUUUUGAAACUCAUACAGAUUAAGACGAAGCUUAAGUGUUUAUACAAAACGAGAUUGUAUUAACGUAUAAUUAAUUGAGUUUAAUUAAGUAUUACAAAUUUAAAAAAUAUAUUUAUCUGAUAUUUUAGAAUAACUUUCAUAUAAAAUUUUUUUUACACAAAACAUACCGUUUAGUAGUUUGAAAAGCAUGUCAUGAAUAUCCAAAUUUUCAUCCAACCAUUCCAAAGCUUACUUCAAAAUAUGGAUCUUUUGACCACGCCAUUCCAUCCAACGUGGCAAUAUAACAUCGACACGUCACCACAACGGGCGUGAUAGUUUUAUCUUAUCACGUUAGUCAGGGUGACGAGGCCAAAUAACAUUGUCACAUCCGUUAGGCCGGCGUGACCAAAUAACGAUGGAACAUUAGGCAGACCGGCAUGACAGUAUGCGUAGCUAAAAGAUUCAAAUUUUUAAAAUAAGUUUUUUCAAUUGUUUUUUUAAUUAAAAAUAAAAAGGUUCAAGACAUAACAAAAAAAUCCACGCUCAGGCCUCACGCAGUAAUGCCGUGGUACGUGCACUGACUUGGCAUUCUAGAGCACAGCGUGGCAUGCGCUAUCCCCGUUCAAAUACCCCAAUGGGUAAAUCCGGUCCGUCCACGUGUAAACCGGCUCGGGUCGGGCUCGCCAAACCAUCGACAGAAGCGAAGCCGGGUCCAACCCCACCACUCGCCCAGUUGUCCGCGCACCCCUCUGACGUGGUCACUGACAGGUGGGCCCGAGAGCGGUGGGGUCCACAUGUCAGUCACCACGUUCCUCCGCCUUCGCCGUCAGCUUUCCCCUUCCCGAAGCUUCGCCAAUCUCCCCUCCUCUCUCUCUCUCUCUCUCCUCCCCGCGGUCGCCGACGACCUCGCCACCGACCCCGCCGCCGGACGCGAGGAAGAGACGGGGGGAGCCCCGGAGGCAGGAGCGGCGGGAGGGGAUGGCGAUGCAGACGGGGUUCGCCACCUCCAAGGUCCUCAUCCUCGUCGGCGCAGGUCUCGUCACCGCAACCUCCCCCUCCUCCUCCUCCUCCUCCUCCUCCCGCUCUACUAUAUUUUCUAGCAUCGAUUCGAGAUGCGGAUCGCCCCGCUGUGUUCUGAUCCUGAUGCGGUGGUUUUUGGCCGGCGUCGAGCUGCAGGGUUGACGAGCUCGAUCGUGCUGCGGAAUGGCCGGCUAUCUGACGUGUUGGCGGAGCUUCAGGUCGGUGGAUUGCCUGAUGUUUCUUGAGUAGAGUAGUUGGAUUCUGGGCAUCUAAUUCUGUUGAUUGCUUCGCGUUAUCGAUCGUAAGUUGCCAAUACGCUAAUAUAGGCGCGUCAGUGUUGCCCGUGUGUGUUUCAAGCGAUGUUGUGAUUUAUAUAUCUGUUUGUGGGACUCCAAUUUAUCAAAUGCAUUACAGCUACAUUUCACCGAUCAAACGUUGGGCGUGCACAUGGGCAUAACUUUUUGUCGCUUAAUUUCAAUGUCGAAUCAUUUCGAUGCACCAAUUGGAAUGUCAUGCCUAAGUUAAUCACCCAAUGGCUAUGAUGAUGCGUUCUUCAUCUAUAAUUUGUAGUAACUCAUAAAAUCGCAGAUGUUUAUUGAAGUAGAUGGUUUUUUCCCUGUUUUUAGGAGCUUAUGAAAGGUGUAAACCAAGGAGAAGGUUCGAGUGCCUAUGACAUCGCCCUUCUUCAAUCUCAGGUAUGCAUCGUUUCAUAUUUUUCAUAGAAUCAACAGUUGAAUGGAAGUUACAAUGCAGACUUCAAUUUCAAUAAAGUUGCCAGUUUCAGUAAAAACCACUGCAGUUUGUUGUUUUUAUUAUUUGUGUGCUGGCGCUUGACUGCAGAUUCGAAAUUUAGCACAAGAAGUUAGAGAUUUGACUAUAUCAAGGCCUAUUACCAUAUUGAGUGGCAACUCCGACUCUGGAGGUUUGUUCUUGUUUGAUCCUCUCCUCGUUCUGUUUUCAGUUUCACUCUUCUAGCAGUCAUGCAAAGAGUCUAUCCAUAUAAAGCUUUUGUUACAUCUUUUUACUUAGAUUAUUUGUCAAUCUUAAGGUUUAGAUAGACAAUUAUUGGCUUGUAUCAGCUCCUCUACAAGGCUACCACCCCUUGGUGAAAAAGUGGUCAAUAGUCAUAUUUUUGCUAAAACUCGUUAAAGAGUGUCAAUCUCUAUUCUCUAAUUCAAUAUUGAGUAAUUCAUGAAGCUGAAAUGCUUCAGCGAUUACAGUAUGAAUCAUGUUGAUUGGUCAAUAAUAGCAAUGUAAUGACAAAUGGGAUAGGAAUGCUGGUACAUUCAGCUGUUUCUCACAACAUUCAUGAACAUAUCUCACUAGCUACUUGUCCCCAUGUGACAUGUAUCUUUUUCUUAUCCGUGUUGUUUAUUCACUAGCAUUUGCAUCCCUUUUGCAGGCAGUUUAUCCUCCUACAUACUGCCUGCAGCUGCAGUUGGAGCAAUGGGUUACUGCUAUAUGUGGUGGAAGGUAAAAUCAGGAAUAUACAAUGCCACUUUGAUCUAUCAGCUUUUAUAUUCUGAUUUUUCUUCCUUGCUUUCUUUCUCCACAAACACUCCUUACUAUCCUUUUCCUUUUAUUAUACUUACAGCCUUCAAUAAAUUAGUAACUGAAUGAAGAGAGUAAUAUGAUGUUCCCCAUUUGCUUGUUUACCUUGUUUCUUGUAGUUAUAUGUCUUAAGAACUAUGCUACCUAAGUCUCCCUGUAAAGUAUUUCCAUGCAGUCCCAGUGGUUCUAUGUGGAUCCAAGUAUCCAACUUUGAUAUAUAAUUGGCAUUUGGCACCCUUGUAUGUAUUUUGAGACAUCAUGAAUAAACCACAUUCUUUUUUUUUUGGGCGGGGGAUUAAAUUGCUUUCUUAGUCAUGUAAUAACACCUCUCUGAUUCUGUGACCAAAUAUUCUAUCAAGAAUCACAGUUUCGGGUUGAGAGACUCUUUUCAUGAUCCCUAGGCCCUAGUAUUUAAGUAAAACCAUCAAAUCUGUCUUGUCCUAAUGGUGUUUGUAGACUAAAUUACUAGUACAAUGAUGAACUGUAUGUGUUAAACUUUUCUUACAUUAUAGUAUCUUCCUGCAGGGAUUGUCCUUAUCGGAUGUCAUGUUUGUUACCAAACGCAACAUGACCAAAGCUGUUGAGAGUAUGUCGAAGCAAUUGGAUCAAGUGUCUUCAGCUUUAGCUGUAUGCUUUACAUGCUGAAUCGUUACAUAUUUGAAGUAGUUUUCCUUCGCAUAUGCUGACUAGUGUUUUCUAAAUUCAAUUAAUUUCAGGCAACAAAAAGGCAUCUAAGUCAGCGCCUGGAAAAUUUAGAUGGGAAAAUGGAUGAGCAAGUGGAGGUCUCCAAAAUUAUUAGAAACGAGGUUUGUUGAUUUGUGAUGCUGCUAGCCCUUCAACUUUUUACACAUGGAAAUUUUUGAAGUUCCUUUUUUUUUUUCUCUGGAGCAAUAAUUAUUGUUUCAUUUUUUUCAUUACAUCAAGUCUAAUUAGCAUCUGAUAACUUUAUUAUUAAAUUGUGUUUCUACCUGAGGUGCAUAACUCUUAUUAGUUUGAUUUGUGUAGUCGCAUCUGAAAAGGUGGAUCAGGAUUUUCUUUGUCAUGCCAAUAUUGUUUCAAGCUAAAAACUGUGCCCUCGAUAAAGCCAGGAAGCACUUGACAUGGCUAUUAUAGGAUAUGCAUUGAAAUAUGGUGGAAUUGUUGGCUUUUACUAUAAUCAUUGACAGCAUAUUCCAAGUGAUCGAUCUUGCCCAUAAACCAUAAAACAACAUCAUGAAGCCAAGAAUAUAUACAAGCGCAAGCAUAAGCAUAAUGAUAUUUGUCAUCAAUGAAUGGUCUUUAGUUGCAUUAAAAUAUACCUUCUUAAAAAUAGCUACUGUAAAUCUGCAAGUACUCAUCUAUGGAAAGAUAAAUUUUACAGCAUUUUUCAUUUUCUUCUCGAAAGCAGAAAAGUUUUGUUCUUCCCAAUGUUAUGCAAAAGACAUGAUUCUGUUCUCUAUGCACAGGUGAAUGAUGUCAAAGAUGAUCUGUCUCAAAUUGGAUUUGAUAUUGCAGCAAUCCAACAGAUGGUUGCUGGAUUGGUGAGUUUUAUUAGUUUAUAACCCUUGAGCAUGAACCUGUGUCAGAACACUUCUUUGGUUAUCCUGACCUUUAUGUUCUCCUUUGACAUUAUCAGGAAGGGAAGAUCGAGUUGCUUGAUAAUAAACAGGUGGCUAAACAUACCCAUCAAUAUUUAACGUGCUGAUUUUUUCCUUUUGCCUAACCUCUUGUGUUUACCGACAGGAUGCAACUAAUGCUGGUGUAUGGUACCUCUGCCAAAUAGCUGGAGGUCUAAAAGAUGGAAUAAAUGCCAAGUUUUUUCAGGUGAGUAGAUAUCAUUUAUAAAGGUUCAGGAUUGCAUGCAAGGUCUAAGGAUGCCUUAUCUUGGAUAGUUCGCUUUUCUUUUGGCUCAUACUGCUCAUUGUGCUGUAAUGAUCCUUCUAUGCUCUCCAUUCCACAGGAAGCUAAUGAAAAACUCAAGCUCACAGAGUUGGCUCAGUCUGAAAGAAAGGCAGUGAAGGUAAUACACAAUUAAUAUGCAGAUGUUUGUCCUCCAUUCAGGUAAUUUCGGUUUCUUUAUGCCAAUCCAUAUCUGUGUUGUGCACAUUUUAGGGGCUUGAAUCUGUUCUGGAGAGCAGAAAGGAACAAAAGGCAAUCGACUCCAAACAAAAUACCACCGCGAUAAUUGACGCCGAAAAGCCCGUGAAAACGGUCGAUGGGCCUGUGAAAAGCGGCGCGGUGCACAGGUGUAGCAGAAUCUCAUUUCGGAAGGAAGGCCUCGCUUUGUGAUCAAAGCAAAGCGAUCGUAACCAGCCCGCUCUCGCGAUGUACAUUGUCUGCCUGAUUGUUUUGUUCGAUUAAAAAAAAUAUAAAAUAAAACCUGUACCUGGAGUUAUUUUGAGUAGGCAGGUUGAUGCACUAUUCUGAUUCAAAAGUGUAUGUGGUUCAAUCCACGUACGCUCUUUUUCUUGGAUUUUGAUUCAUGUGAUCUCAUUUAUUUUUAUUUGGUGUGAAUGUUUGUACACAGUUGGUUCGAAACAUUCCUUGUGCCAUUGUGAGAGUUCCCUUCGGCCUGCAUGCCCUUGUCCCAUAUGUCCAUAUCACCCUGUGAAUGAUGCCCUCUCCUUCUAGUCCAGAUUUGCAAGCAGUCUGGAACUCUGGAUGAUCGGAUUUUACUUGCAGACAGGCACAGGGCCACGGUAGUCCCUGUCCUGGAUAAAUUCUGCUCUGUUCGUGUACAACAUUUUCUUGUUUGCUGCACAAAGUGUAAGCCGUGAAGCAUAAACAGGAUUACAUGCACUAGUUACGUACACGGUGAAAAACAUGGUCCUCACUCCUCAAUGCCGUAUGCCGUAUGCCCGUAUACACCAAUUACUACACAUGUACAGCAAAUCAUAGGUACUCACGAAUCACAAGCUGGUGACAAUCAGCACGGAAGAAGAGGAUCUUCUCGCCUCCCUGGAAUGAGAUCCGUACCCCUUUACUAGCCAGGACGCGAUAAGAUGGGAGUAUAUAUGUUCCUUUGGAUGUCAGAUUUGUCGGUUCCGUUUGCCUGUCGAUCGUACGUACGACAGGUGAAAAAAAGAAUCAGAUCUUCCGUUUUUUUACAGUCGUCAAGCAGCUGCUUCUUGGGUUGCAUUCUGUCACGGUGUCACCGUUGUGCCGAUUCGAGUAAAAACCCUGUGUCCUUUGAUAUGGAAAGCCAAGGCGAUCUAGCAUGGGCCAUGCCCUCAUCAAACCGGAUACGUAUACGCCUCCAGAGACGCACACUGUACGUUGCUGUACUAACUGUACUGGUGUACGUGUACCUAGCGCAUUACUCACACUAUCCAAAAAAAAAAAUCAAUGUUAAAGAGGCGUGACUCCUCUACCAUAAAUUUAAAUAGAUGAAGAGAUUUGUUGUAUUAGAAGGGAUCACAUUUCUCUUCUAAGUUUAGUUUUUUUUAAUAAAGUAAGCCAUAGCCAACGUUUAAAUUUAAAUUAUUCUAUGUGUUUUUUAUUGUCUUCUUUAGUCUUUGCCUUUAAAUCCUCAACAGCAUGUACAAGUCUAAAAAUAAAACCUAACUUUUAUUCCAUUGUCACGCUUUUUUACGGGUUAUUGACCGGAGCGAAAUAAUGGCGUACAUCUUCUUCUCUUUCUUCUUUUUUCUUUGUUUUUUUUUUCAAAAAAUGGUGAGUAGCUAGCUAGUUGUUAGGGUGAUCACCUUUCUUCUUCGCCGUCGGUCGCUAAUAUAAAAGGUGGUUGGCUGAUUAUGAGACAGUCAAGAUUAACAAGGCAUGAUAAGAUACAGACUCUUAAUAGAGGUAUGGCCAUUUCAGUUUAUUCUUAAUUGAUGUUUGAGAUAUCGAUGAAGAUGAACAUAUUAGGUGUACUAACUCAUGAUCAACGCUGCACACUGACAGUCUGACAAAAGCACGGAUCCCUAUCAGUCCCAAAUUAACAUGGCCACGCAUGGAUCAUCAAACCAAGGAGAUCUUACGCCUACAGAUGCAGGCAGAAAGUCAAUGUGUUGCGCGAAGCAAGCCGCAGAUUUUUGAAACAACAGUGCUAAGCUAUAAUUAACGAGGCCCAUCUGACACAGAACACCACGAGAUACUAGAAUAAUACAUGAUGGAUUAAGAAAUAAUGAAGCAGCUGAGAUGCAUACAACCGAAGUAUUCAAGGGCUAGCUAGCUAUCUGAACGAUCCAAACACUGUUAAUAUUUCAUUUUGUGUAUGUGUUUUUUUUACUGAUAUCAUAGGAGUAUCUAUCCUAAAAGCUAGCGUCAAAGCUACCAACCAUUCAAGUCUCGGACACCAAUUCUCAUGACAUAUAUCUCGGUGCCAACAAAGUCAAAACCAGCAGCUCAACAACACAGGGGGCACAUAGGAUUAGAUAGCUUGAUUAAAGAAAUCAAUGGUGACGAUUAUAGUAGUAAUAGUAUAGUAUGAUAGUAUGAUGCUGUGUAAAGCUAGCUAAUUAGCUAAACCAUAUCAAGUUGGAGUAACGAUCCAUCUUUGUUGCUGGGAGUAGCUAAUUUCGCUGUGCCGCACGCAUGCUCGGGAAAAAGAACGGAUCCCGAGGCCACUGAAUUCCGGACGGUUUGGUCAAAUGCCUCUUUGGUUGGGCCUGAAGGUUUCCUACCAAUGCCAAAGCGUGCAGCCAUUGGCCAUGGGAGUAUUGGAUUAUGGCCGUGUUUAGAUUUCAAUUUUUUUCUUUAAACUUUUAACAUUUUUGUCAUUAGACACAUGCAUGGAGCAUUAAAUGUAGAUAAAAAACAAUUGUAUAGUUUGCAUAUAAAUCGUGUUAUAAAUCUUUUAAGCCUAAUUACGUCAUGAUUUGAUAAUGUGAUGCACAGUAAAUAUUUACUAAUGACGGAUUAAUUAGGCUUAAUAAAUUCGUCUCGCAGUUGACAGACGGAAUCUGUAAUUUGUUUUGUUAUUAGUAUACGUUUAAUACUUCAUGUGUGUAUCUGUAUACUUAAAAAAAUUUUGACACACGAACUAAACACAGCCUAUAUUGCUUCAUAAUGACACCAUCAUUAUAUAUACUGAUAUGUGUGAUAAUAGGAGGUAGUGACCCACAUACCAAUGACUGUAAUGAUGCUGAUGUUAUGAUAGAUGAUCCUCACCCGUAUUGGACAUAAGAGCAAGUUUAAUAGUAUAGUUAACUACUAGCUCCAAUUCAUCUAUAGCCAAUCUAAUAGCUCAUUCACACAAUAGUUACAUACUACACUAUUAAUACCUGGUCCCAUCUGUCAUACACACUGCGUCUUGGAGUCCGUGCUACAACUAGCUACAAAUCUGUAGCCCGCUUCUCUUCUCUCAUCUCAUUUAUCUUCUUAAAAUAUAUUUGCAGCUGGUUUAUAGUCUGCUAUUAUACCUGCUCUAAGCUUCACGGUCACAGUAAAAAAGAAGUUUCUUAUUGGUCUAUAGAGGCUCUUUGAAACAAACACAAGUAUGUUAAAAACGCAUAAGAAAGGGAUAAAUGUACGAGUAGAACGCCAUUUCCAACUUGAUCUAUAGGACUCCAACACGCAUAAAUAAUAUUUGGAGCUAUAUAUAUGGAGCACAUGAUUUUCUUUAGAAUUAGUUUAUUUUCAAUAGUAAGGAAAAAUUCGUAAGAGCAGAGAGAGUGAGAGAGUGCAUUGGGGUUAUGAUAUGAAAAAUUCCGUACGGAAUGGAGGUAUAUAAAAUAAACUUUUAGGAUUUUGUCAAUCAUAUUCUCUCGUGCAAAAGGACGAUCUGAAAAUUGAAAAAAAAAGAAUGACCUUAUAGAAAAAAAUCCCAAGGAUUGAAAUCGUCCAAAUUAAAUUUCUGAAAUUCAAAGGAGACCUAAAAUUGUAUACAUGGCUCUAAAAGCAUGUCCUAAAUAUAAAAUUUGGUAGUACUAUUUAAGAAUUUGCAUGCUUCAUUUGGAAGGAAAUUAGGUUUUCUUUAGGGUUCCUUUGGAGCGUAUGAAUUCAAAAAUACAGAAACAGGAAAAAUGUAGGAAGACGUGGCAUACUAGCUAGUUGAUCCAUAGGAGUUUUAGAAUGCAGAAAUUGUGUGUAACUUGUUGUUGGAUGCUCCAUAGAAAAAGUAUAGGAUUUUGGGAGAGAGAUAGACCUGAGAAAAGUUCUCAUGAGAUCCAACCCUCAUGUUAAGGGCCACAUUGAGGGCUCCUUCGGAUUGUAGGAAUUUUGUAGGAAAUAUGGAUGAUUUCAAUUUGUAUUGUAUUUGGCACUAUUCGCUUGUUUGGAAUGAAGGAUUUGGGCAUAGGAAAGGUAGAGGGAAAUUUUCCUUUGCUAGAGAUUCCAUAUGAAUUCGAACAUCUACCAAGCCCUAUUUUUUUGUUUUCAUUUAUUAGCUAAGUCCAAGCUAAAUAAAAUAAUGAAAGCUCUAAAGAACCAUAAUUUGAGGAUAAAUUGACCAACGACAUUAUGAUUCUUGUGUUUUACUAAGUUCAUAUUUGUUCUAAACAAUCUAUCUUACUCCCUCCGUACUCGUAAAGGAAGUCAUUUAGGACAAUGUUUAAAUCAAACCAUAGGAAUAUAAAUCAUGAAUAACUCUCAAGUUGUUGAGUUUGAAAAUAUAAAAAUUAUAUGAAUAGAUUUGUCUUGAAAAAUACUUUCAUAAAAGUAUACAUAUAUCACUUUUCAAUAAAUAUUUUUAUAGAAACAAGAAGUUAAAGUUGUAUUUUGGAGACCGUGUCGCUGUCCAAAACAACUUCUUUUACGAGUACGGAGGGAGUAUAUUUUUCCUACAUUUUUCAUCUAUGUUUUAUAUUUAUACAUGCAAUCCUAUACUCCCUCCGUCCUAAAAAGAGGGGUUUAUAGGUUUUAGAUUUGUCCCAAAGAGUGUCUUUUUAGUUGUGGGUCCACUAGACCUCUUAAUACCAUUUCAUCCUUUUUAUUUAUAUUCUGACUUUCUAUAACAACAGUCUUAUUGGAUGAAGUUUUUUUUCUUAUUUCUGUGUUUUAAAGGAGCCAUAAAUAUAUGAUUUAUGAAGGAUGGCAAUGACCCCUGCAUGUACAAAGCACCGUACCGACACUAGAGCUAGGGCAUCCCUUUCAAAUUUCAAUUCGGAGCUUUUUCUCUCAUGUCAUUAUCAUGAAUUCGUUGAUUGCCAAAGAGUUAGAUUCUGUUCACGGUACAAUAUACCACGUGGGAUAAGGCUCCAAAUGCUCACAGGCUCACAGCAAGAUAUAUGGUUUUUACCCCCUAACUAUGAUUAGAUCAAGUGAUGCUAUUUUGGUGUAGCCUUGAGAUUAAAUUGUAAUCCUGGUGUAGAGACCAAAAGUAGUUAUAUACCUUCAAUCCUUCAUUAUUAGAAAAAAAAUGCAACUAAAUUGAAUAUAUACGCGUAUUCGUACAAUGUAUUACUCGAGUAUGCAGUUAAAGAAACCACUCUAAUGGAAAGGAUUCAGAAAAUUUUGGAGAGCAGGCAACAUUCAGCAAGCAGUACAGAAGAACACAGCAGAAUUGUGUCCAGGCCUAGGCGCCUAGAUACUCAUGCACUAGAAUGAAUAUAUAAUCAAAAUCAACAAGUACCAUUAGGUUGGAACUUGGAAAGAAAAAGAAUUGCAUCAAAAGGGUGCAAUAAUAGAAAGUACGAUACAAAUAUAUAAUUACACUCGAGAAUUGUAGUAGCAUUCGUCAACUACCACCAAAUCAUGAACUUCUCCCAACUGAACAUCAAUGGUACGUGGUACCGGGGUGCAAUAGUCAAGAGCGAAGGCUGCACGCUAAAGGCACCUCAAAAAUCCAAUGACAAAAAAGAAAGCAAAGACAGAUUGGAACACAAGUACCAGAAUAUAUGGCAGUACUACCACAUAUUUUUGCUACAUUAAUGGUUCUUUCAAGGACAAUUGAUCCAUGAACCAUGAUGAAUCUAAAUGCAGCACCGCAAAAUCUGACCGGAACUGUCCAUGAUCUCUGUAAAUUAUCUCCUUCUCUGUGCGUUAAUUAAUUAACUUUCUGUCAGACGAACAUACUAGCACUCUGAGUGCUUACCGACACCGAAAAGAAACAGUAGUAGUGACUGUGCAAAAGCAGGGAUUCGAACAACAACAACAACAACAACAAACACAGAUGAUGAGAUGAAUUGGACAUACAUUAAUUCUUCCAAUAGCUACGUAUUGGUUAGAGAGAGAGAGAGAGAUCUGAAAAUGCAUAACAAUCUAGAAGGAAGGAAUCAAUGCAGAUAUACAGUGUGACUGUCGUCUUAGCAUGAUCUUCAUUGACCAUCUGUAGCAGAAACUACUACUAGUUAACUUGCCUAGCUAAAAAAACCGAAGUAAUUAAUCAACCUCAAGAGUUAAUUAACAACAGAGAAAACACAUGAAUAAUGCAACCGUUUCUUUUUUCUUCCAUGGAGAGGAAAGCUAAAGGAAAGGUAGUACUUGGAACAGCAGAGAAAAUGCCUGGCUUUCCCUUGUAUGCCGCAUUGCAGCGCCGGCCGUCGACCGAAAACCCACCACCACCAUCACCAUCACCAAAACUCCCCUCCAUAUUUCUUCGCCUAUAUAUCGAUCCUCCCUAUAUCCUAUCUUGGAUUCAGCUCACCGGCCGGCCAUCCCAGUGUCGCCGGCGACUCCUGCGAUCCCAACGAUGGCAUUGGGCCGUUGCUGCUGCUGCUGCUGCUCCUCCUCCACACCCUCCUCAUCCUUGCUCAUGAGAGUAGCGAGGCCGUGGAAGAAGAAGAAUGGUCUCUCUCUCUCUCUCUCUCGUUUUCUCUGCGAUUUUAUGAUUGCUGCUGCUGCUGCAUUGGAAUAAUACUCGGCUUUCAGUGGGUUAUAAAGAGGGGGGAGAAAAAACCGGGCGCGAGCGAUCGAGGUCAGCAGCAGCUGCACGGGGGCAUGUCCUCGCGCGUGCCAGCGGCGUCGGGAUCCGGACCGCGCAUCAAUGCGUGCGAACGAACGAACGAACGCACGAACGAAUGCGUGCGCAGCGUGCGUGGUUGUCAAACGGAGGCCAACAGCCACGUUAAAUAUCGUAGCGUGACAGGCAGGGGCAGGGCAGGGGCAGGGGCAGGGGUGGAUUAUUCGCGGAAUGCGCGUACGUCGUACACCGAUCGAUAGGUUCGUACGCGCGGGGCGCAUUUGGUAGAGAUGGAUCGAUCGAUCCGUCGGUGGGAUGAGAAGAUUACGUUUGUUUGCCACAUGAGUUGGGGAGUACGAGUACGAGUACCGUGGAGGUAUUAUGUACUGGGUACCGACGCUUUGAUUUCGCUGCGGGGGGAUUAAAGAGCCGGGUUUACAUGGGGCCACGUUAAUAAAGAGAGAGGGCGAGGAGGAGGGGAAAAAAAAACGCCUUGUCAGAGAAUGAACUCCUCCACCAGUGAACCGUGAGGUCCCCUUUGUGAGUUCGGCUGGAGGCAGCGGGUGAGAUUUGAGGGCUUGGUGAGCGGAGCUGUGUGAUCUUGAUGGGGUUAGGCCCCUCCAAGACGAUGAGACAAAAAAUAUUUAUACAGGUUCGGGCCGCUAUGAAGCGUAAUACCCUACUCCUGUGCAUGAUUGAUUGAAUGUAGAACACCAGUGCUUGGGGUUGCGAGACCCAAGCGCCAGUUCGCUCGGAAGUCCCCCCCUCCACCACUAGGCCUGGACCUCCUUUUAUACAUCAAGGGGUUACCACAUGGGUCUAACAACCUAACCUAGCUCCGGUGGAGAAGUAUUAUAAUAUUUGCAUUAAAUGCAUGUCUUGUCUCUUGACUUGGGAAGCUAAGCACACGUCAUCUUGAUGAUGGAGCCUGUUAAAUCUUGCCGCCUGACACGGGGGUGCCCCUGUCAGUCACCAUUUAAUGGGUGAAGACUUCUGAGCUCCUAUUACACCGGGAAACGGGAGCCUUGCAUUGACCAGAGCGGGAGGACCGACUCCGGCUGGGAUAAGAGGAUGAGAACCUCUCACCAUCAUUAUUUGAUGGGAUAUGUCGGGCUGCACGUCGCCUGACACACGCGAUGGUGCGCCUGACAUCUUGGGUCCCAUCAUUCAUUCGAUCGGUCACAGACCGGUUGAGUGCACUGCAUACCGCAUUAAAUGCGGCGUGGCGCGACCGCUUGGGAUGCCAUAAAUGCGGGUAGGUGGGCACCUGGAGGCAGACACCUAACCCACCGUACGUGGUGACCUAGAGAGGGGGUCGGGGGAGCCCGACCCUGUUAACAGUGAAAUUUGGUAAGCCCGGAGUAGUCAUCGGCUUAGAGUCAGCAUCGGCUUCGAAGUCCUGAGAUUAGCCGAUGAGAGUUGUCAAGUCGUCAGUUGUCGGAUUCUUGCUAUAUUCGGUUAAGGAAAUUGAUCUACUAAAGGAAGCUUAUCCAUAAGAAACCGAGUUCAAAGAGAAUGCGGCAUGGCAAGUUAUCUAUUAAUUAGGAAUAGUUUGUUAGUUUCCUUUUAUCUUUAGGAAAGUGUGUUUAGUGUCCUAUAAGGAUUUUAUCUUUUCCUUUUAUCUUUAGGAAAGUUUCUUUCUUGUCCGACAAGGACUUGUAUCAACCCAUGGGUAUAAAUAUGUAUACUCGGGGUCUAUGUACUUUCUUAUCCGACAAGGACUUGUAUCAACCCAUGGGUAUAAAUAUGUACACCCGGGGUCUAUGUAGUUUAUCGCUACGAUCAAUAUAAUUCGGCGCAUCGCCACCCUUUUUACUUCUACUUUUGUUUUUUACGUUCCGGCAGAACUUGGCACCCAACGCAGGGCUGCAUCGUCUUCGAUCUCCGGCGAAGGGAUAAGUCCAAUGUUCCGUCGGUCCAGGCAAUUGUCUCAUCUACAUCGGCGUCGUUCAAGGCUGCAUCAGUAUAUUCGACCUCUUGGAUUGCUCUGGUUUGGAUGAUAUAUUUGCCUACCUAUUUAUCAUGUCUCUGUUAAUCUAGUCUUAGCAUAUCAAUUUAGCUCUAUCGGCUGUCUCUCGCUUUAGGGUUUCUGCCGGUAUCGGCUAAAUCGCGUUGCUAUAUUAGAUUAGCCUAGGCAUUUACCACCCUGAAAAUCAGUCAACGACUUGAUUGUCUAGAUAUUGUGUUUCUUUUCAUACUUAGUGUUGCAUUAGUUAAGUUUGAUCUACUAAGUCGUGCUUAGAACCAUAAUCUCUAGCAUGCUUAUUGAUUGCCAAUAAGGGAUUCAUCGGGGUUUCAGCCGGUGAGUUAUCUGGACGUUGCAUCGGCUCAUAAGGAUUGCAUAUACAUAUAAGUUGGAUUUAGCCGAUGGCAACAAAGGUUUCAUUGUUUAAUCUAAUCUUGUGGAUUUCAUGACAUCGGACCUCUAGCCGAUGGGUGCUUUAACCUUCGGAUCAAUACUUGUUCUACUAUAUCAUAUUGUUAGCCGAUUGGUUUAUACAGGAUUAUAUUGCUAUAUUACAUCAUCAUUAGCCGAUUGCCUUUAUAUCAGUAUCUACAUUUGACAUAUAGCCGAUUGCUUAAACCCUAUCGCUAUCGGCUGGUAUCGGCAUCGGCUAUUAUCGGCUAUCGGCUGGAACUACUCCAUCGGCUUGUCAGCCGAUCGGCUGUUUGAUCUAUUAUUUGCAAAUCUUGUCAGUUGCAGGAUUAAACUGACUGGCACGCCCGCAUCUCAUUAAUCUUUGGACCUGCACAGGAGCUAAGCAGAUCUCCCAGGCCGGUGUGUUCGAUUUUUUCUUCAACAGACCCCUAGUCAUGGGAGGGGGCGGCCGACGCCCGACCUCGGGCCUGAUCCCCCCUCGGGGGGGGGGGGAGCCACGUGGCGCCUGGGGCGGCCUUCUCCCUCUAGUCUCGGCCAGGGAGUGGCCGCCGCCCUACCUCGGGCCCGACCCCCCUCGGGGGAGUACCACGUGGCAUUGGAGGGCAGCCUCCUCCAUCCAGUCUCUGGGAAGGAGUGGUCGCCGCCCUACCUCGGGCCUGACUCCCCUCGGGGGAGGGCCACGUGGCAUCGGAGGGCAGCCUCCUCCAACUAGUCUUUGGGGAAGGAGUGGCCGCCACCCCACCUCGGGCCUGACUCCCCUCGGGGGAGGGCUACGUGGCAUCGGGGGGCAGCCUCCUCCCUCUAAACCUGAUACCCCGGGCCCAUAUCACCGACAGUAGCCCCCGGCGUUAGCCCUGACCAAAACUUUUCCUAGGUGGUCAGGGUUGACGCCACUCUGUUAGUCAAAUGACAUGUGGGCCCGAUCUCUUAUUCUUUCUUUGCUGGCACUAGGACCCAUGCGCCUUUUUCGCCCUAGCCUGAGGGCGAUUCGCUAGCCCGUACCUUAGGCUGUGAACUUAUUUUCUGUAUAUAUUCAGCAAACGUUGUUAGAUUCUCUUGGGCCCGUGUCUUUACGCCGCGUACCUCGCUUGCUCCUGCCAUUUGUUAAUCUCUGUUCAUGUUCUACUUCAUCUAUUCAAACGAUUAUUUUCGCGAGUGUGAGGACUGAACUUUCCCUAACCAGCAAUCUUCACUCGCGAUCAAGCUAAGCUGGGCGCCGUAGCCAGCCGGCAGGGCCAAAGCCAGCUGCUACGGAAGAGCUAGCAUAGGGGGCCCCAGGCGUCGACGGUACCCAGAGCUCGACACAGGGCUAGGAUAGAGCUAGGAAUCGUAGCCCCCGCACUUUAAGCAAAGAAUCGUUUGAAUGGAUGAAGCGAAUACAAACUUUUUGUUACCAAGGGAGGCAAGCCGGCGCGCGACACAUAGGUACCGCGGGACCGUGAGGAAGAGAUAGGCGAGAGAUAAAUAUAAGCAAUAAUAAUUCUAUGCAAACGAUUAUCUUCGUGCGAGUGUGAGGACUGAACUUUCUAUAGCCAACAAUCUUCGCCUGCGAUCAAGUGAAGCUGAGCGUCGUAACCAGCCGACGGGGCCAAAGCCAGCCGCUACGGAAGAGCUAGCACAGGGGGCCCCGUGCGUCGACGGUACCCAGAGCUCGACGCAGGGCUAGGAUAGAGCUAGAAAUCGUAGCCCCCGCACUUUAAGCAAAGAAUCGUUUGAAUGGAUGAAGCGAAUACAAACUUUUUGUUACCAAGGGAGGCAAGCCGGCGCGUGACACAUAGGUACCGUGGGACCGUGAGGAAGAGAUAGGCGAGAGAUAAAUAUAAGCAAUAAUAAUUCUAUGCAAACGAUUAUCUUCGCGCGAGUGUGAGGACUGAACUUUCUAUAGCCAACAAUCUUCGCCUGUGAUCAAGUGAAGCUGAGCGUCGUAACCAGCUGACGGGGCCAAAGCCAGCCGCUACGGAAGAGCUAGCACAGGGGGCCCCGGGCAUCGACGGUACCCAGAGCUCGACGCAGGGCUAGGAUAGAGCUAGGAAUCGUAGCCCCCACACUUAUAGCAAAGAAUUGCUUGUAUGAAUGAAGCAAACACAAACCUUUAGCUCGAAGAGGACCCCCCACCAUGGGUUCCGAACCAUCUUGGGAAGCCUGUGACCACUUAGCAAACGAGGUCAGGUUCCCACGAGCCUGUGUCCCCACGCUACACAUUCUGUUUGCUCUUUCCUUUCGGUGGCCUGCUUCCAAUCUCUUUUCCUUCUACAUGGACGAUUACUUUCGCAUGAGUGUGAGAGCCGAAAACUCUAGAGCCAGCAAUCCCCAUCCACAGUUGAGCCAGGCCGGGUACUGUAGCUAGCCGGCGGGACCAAAGCCAGCCGCUACGGAAGAGCCAGCACAAGGGGUCUCGGGCAUCGACGGCACUCGGGGCUCAACUGAAGGCUAGAAAACUUAGCCCCCACACUUAGCGAAGAAUCGUUCAUGUAGAUGGGAGAGAGGUUGGGCUCUUACCACCGAGGGAGCAAACAAAUGCGCAACACGCGGGCGUCGCAGGGCCAUGAGAAUAGAAUGGGGGGAAACAAAUAUAAGAUUUCAAGCUAAUGAAUUGAAAAAUUGAAAAUACUUGAAGCUUGAAAGGACGAUCAGUUGAGCCAGGCCGGACACCGUAGCCAGCCGGCAGGACCAAAGCCAGUCGCUAAAGAAGAGCCAGCACAGGGGGUCCCGGGCUUCGACGGCACCCGGAGCUCAAAACUGCAAGAGUCCUCCUAGGAGUGAACCGAGGCGGCAGCAGGUUCAUGGGCCAACCCCGCACUUGGCCCCUGAGGGCCAUGGGGAAGACGUUCGCCAUGACCCGGUCGCCACCCCUCGCCGCCUCUAUGAUCGCCAUGCAGAUCUGGAGGGACUUGGAGGGGUCGGCGCCAUCAUCGUACUUCUCGGUGAGGUAGGGCUGGAGCUUUGGGGGCCCUCGGACAUUCCGAAGACUCGCCACAAAGACCUGGUAGCCAAGCUUACCCGGUGGGGAUGUGGGGGGCCUUGCCCCCUGCCUGGGGUGGCGCGACACUCCAGAGGAUGCUGCGCCUUCCCCCGUAGCGGCGGUGUGACACUCACCACGCCGGCGCUCGAAAAAACCUCAAAAAUCACGAACGCGCCCCCUACCUGGCGCGCCAGAUGUCGGAGAAUGAACUCCUCCACCAGGGAACCGUGAGGCCCCCCUUUGUGAGUUCGGCCGGGGGCAGCGGGUGAGAUUCGAGGGCUUGGUGAGCGGAGCUGUGUGAUCUUGAGGGGGUUAGGCCCCUCCAAGACGAUGAGAUAAAAGAGGUUUAUACAGGUUCGGGCCGCUAUGAGGCGUAAUACCCUACUCCUGUGCAUGAUUGAUUGAAUGUAGAACACCAGUGCUUGGGGUUAUGAGACCCAAACGCCAGUUCGCUCGGAAGUCCCCCCUCCACCACUAGGCCUGGACCUCCUUUUAUACCUCAAGGGGUUACCAUAUGGGCCCAACAACCUAACCUAGCUCCGGUGGAUAAGUAUUAUAAUCUUUGCAUUAAAUGCAUGUCUUGUCUCUUGACUUGGGAAGCCAAGCACACGUCGUCUUGAUGAUGGGUCCUGUCAAAUCUUGCCGCCUGACACGGGGGGUGCCCCUGUCAGUCACCAUUUAAUGGGUGAAGACUUCUGGGCUCCUAUUACACCGGGAAACAGGAGCCUUGCUUUGACCAAAGCGGGAGGACCGACUCCGGCUGGGAUAAGAGGAUGAGAACCUCUCACCAUCAUUAUUUGAUGGGAUAUGUCGGGCUACACGUCGCCUGACACACGCGAUGGUGCGCCUGACAUCUUGGGUCCCAUCAGUCAUUCGACUGGUCACAGACCGGUUGGGUGCACUGCACACCGUAUUACAUGCGGCGUGGCGCGACCGCUCGGGACGCCAUAAAUGCGGGUAGGUGGGCCCCUGGAGGCGGACACCUAACCCACCAUACGUGGUGACCUAGAGAGGGGGUCGGGGGAGCCCGACCCCUAGUCACGGGAGGGGGUGACCGCCGCCCGACCUCGGGCCCGAUCCCCCCUCGGGAGGGGAGCCACGUGGCACCUGGGGCGGCCUUCUCCCUCUAGUCUCGGUCAGGGAGUGGCCGCCGCCCUACCUCGGGCCCGACCCCCCUCGCGGGAGGGCCACGUGGCAUUGGAGGGCAGCCUCCUCCAUCCAGUUUCUGGGAAGGAGUGGCCACCGCCCUACCUCGGGCCUGACUCCCCUGUGGGGAGGGCCACGUGGCAUUGGGGGGCAGCCUCCUCCGACUAGUCUUUGGGGAAGGAGUGGCCGCCACCCCACCUCGGGCCUGACUCCCCUCGGGGGAGGGCCACGUGGCAUCGAGGGGCGGCCUCCUCCCUCUAAACCUGAUACCCCCGGGCCCAUAUCACCGACACGCCUCUUUAUCUGAUCUCCGUGGUGGAUAAAAAGAGUGUCCAAACCGGCUGUAAUUUUAUAGCCCGCUUCUCCUCUUUCUCCUCUUUUUUCUCCUCCACCUUAGCAUUUAGCUGGCUUAUAGCCUACUAUUAUACUUGCUCUGAGUGAUGGGAGGCUACUGCGUGGACUAGCGAAGCACCGAAGGCUCCUUCGAACAUUAAUACUGCUGGUCGCCUAGGAGAUUUGGAACAAAAGGAACCGCAGGGUUUUCCAGCAAAAAGAGCUCUUGACGACUAGCCUAACAGCCAAAAUUAAGGAGGAAGCGAUAAAAAAACAUGAACCUUGGCGGGCGCGAAGCAUUUCGACCAAAGGCCUUGAGCCUGCACAUUUUUUUUAUUCUUGCGUCUUGUGCCUGUACAAUUUUACUCAUGUAUUCCAUGAAAUUGGCGGUUCGCCGAUUCGUUAAAAAAAGAGAAUAUGAUGAAUAUGUCAAAAAUCAUAAAUCUAGAAACAAAAACAGUUGUAAAAUCUAAUUUUGAUUCAUUGUAGCUCAAUGUAAGUACUACAUCCGUCCUAAAAUAUAGCUAUUUCUAACACAGUGUCUUGUCCCAAAAUGAAGCUAUUUUUCCACCUACCUCCUCCUAUCAACCAAUCACAACCAUUCUCAUUCACAUUCCUUUUCUUUUCAACUAAUCAUACACAUUCUCCAAUCAUUCUCACAUACUUUUUUAAUACCCGUGCCAACCUAAAAAAUGUCUACAUUUUAGGACGGAGGAAGUACUUUGUAACUAAGUUUAAGUGCUCUAUAACCAAGUAUAUAAAAGUGCUCUGUAUAGGAACACGAAUCUUGAUGUAAAGGUGAAAAAUUGAAAGGCAAAAACCUAAAAAAUAUAUCGUACUAGGUAAAAUAGCAAAAACGAAAACAAAAAGAUGAAAAAUGGAGACGGUUCGUUCUUACAUGUAGACAUGUAGUACUAGUGUGUAGUGUAGGCUUGUGGUGAACUGGUGUGGUGACCUUUCGUCCCUGCUCAUCAAAAUCUUUGUCCUGGAAAAGCGUGGAAAAGCACGCGUGGGGUGAUGCCGUACACCAAUCCUUAAUACCCUCCCAAUGCAAGUGGAGUACUGCAUGCAAAGUUGCAAAAACCACUACUGCACCAGACACCAGUACCCGACCAUCGAUCGCCAGGAUAAAUCUCUUUACCUCCCCACUGGACCAUUCAUUGUCUGUGUUUGCUUAGCUCUGAUGCAAUAUCCCCACACGAUCCAUCGAUGAUGACAAACAAUGGCCCGGGCUUUGUUUGAUGAUAGAUAGCAUCGCGCCCCAGUUGAUGUUGAUCAACGAUGGCGGGUCCGCCGCGCAGAGGGGAGCGCACCACCAAGCAGCUUAUGCUGCUGCUGCACAGAUCGAUCGAUGGACCACACCACCACUACCACUUCAGCAGUUCAGCUCGCUGCGCCACACCACAUGGAUGGGCGUCUUGGCUUUGGCUGUGUGCGUGUGGGCGAGGCUGCCUAGCGUAGAGACGGACGGCGAGCAUUUCCAGCGCGUGGUGGUGCGCGCGCGGGCGCGGUGCUCUCACGUGCGGGUCGCGCGGGCGCGGAGCGGCCGGGGUUGGUCGUACGCUGGCGGGACCGAAUCCCACAACAUCGGCCCGGCUCUUGCUCCGAUGCCUCGUCGUCGUCUUGUCCGCGGCUUCCAUUCCGUUUCAGGGGGCAUUCACCGCUGCGCCCAUCUCGAUGCCUGCUGCUGCUGCUAGAUUGUAUGUCAAUAAAUUGAAAAAAUAGAGUUUUAAUACACGACGCACUCAGCUAAACCGGCCUAUGCCAAGGAAGGAAGAAAACAAAGAUAAAAAACAAAGAAAGGAACUCGAAUUUGCUGCUGCUGCAGCGCUGCUACUAGCGAGUGCAACAGUAGUACAACCUAGACUAACCAUAGGAGAAACCAUUUCAGCUACAGUAAGGGUGGAGCUAGAACGAAAUGGGAAGAAAUAACACUCACUUGCUUUACUCUAUUUUAGGCUGAGCUUAGUCUGAUAUGAGCGUCUGAGUUUAGAUUGAAGGGGUACAUAUAUGAUAAAAAUAGAUGAACUAUAAUUUUAAAAAAAAUUAAAAAAAAUUAUUGAUCAGGUUCCUGGGCACCGCCACUCUUCAAUGUAGCUCCGUCCCUGAGCAGUGGUAAGCUGUAUGAGAGAGGAGAGAAGAGGAAAGGAGAGACAAAGUGAGAGCGGACGAUGAGCAUUGGCUUUGCGAGAAAAGUGAUGAGUGCAGAGGGAGUGAACUACUCUCUCCUUCCCAAAUUGAUUAUUAUACUAUAUAUUAUGCACCAAGAGACAAGACCAAGGCCCUGUUUGGUUCUAUGGGCUAAUUAUUAGCCCCCACCUUUUACUCCUGAAUUAGCCCUCAAUGAUCCAAACAGGUGGGCUAAUUUGAGGCUAAAGUGAAUUAGCCCCCCUUAAAACAUUAGCCCCUCCAAGGGGUGCUAAUGGGGCUAAUUUUAUGUGGGGACCAUAAAAAGCAGUUCUCUCUCUCCCUCUGUCUCCACCUUUUAGCCUUGAAUUAGCCCAUGGAUCCAAACAUACUACCCUAGACUAAUGUUUAGCCUACCAAUUCAUGACUAAACAUUAGCCCUGGGCUAAUCUUCUAAACAGGACCCAAUAAUUAUUUAAAUCAUAUCAAUUAAGACAUCAUGCACACAUUCUCCCAUAAUGUAUGCAUCGAUUAAAACACAAUGCCAAUCACAACUUAGCAUGCGUAUAUUUUUCCAUGCUACAUUAAUUGUAUUCUGAUGAAAUAUGUGUCCAUGCGGUUAUAUAAUAAUUAAUUUGAGAAAUUUUGAAUUCCAUUAUAUGAUGAUCAAUUUAGAAAGGAGGGAAUACAUGUGUGAAAGGAAGCUUAAGUUAUUUAAUAUGAUGUGAAGUUGGUGUGCCGAGCAUUAUUACAAUUUACUUAUUGUAUUCAUAAGUUACUAAAAGAGUUACAUGUGAGUUGGAUAAAAUUGAAGCAGCUGCCUACUCUACGAGUAUCGACCUCACUCUACGAGAGGCUGGAAUUAGAAAACGAGCCGAGCUAUACAAUAGAGAAUCUGGUAAGCAACCAAAUCUUUCCUUUUCACGGAGCAGCCCAGCCUUCCCUUUUCCUCCGUUUUCUCUAAGGUGUAUGAGAAAAAAGAAACAUACUCAACUAAAUAAUACCCCACUGUAAAAUAAAAUAAUUGGAUGUAAAAUAUCCUACUACUCUAUCCGUUUCGAAUUAUAAAGCGUCCUUAUUUAAAAAAAAUCAAAAUCGGUGACUUUUGACUAAUAAUCAAUAUCUACAACAAGUAUUACAUAUGUUAAUAAUAAGAUUGCAUUUUAAAAUACUUUCAUGUAAUAUUAACUUUAUAGUUGUUGAUGAUAUAAUAUGAAAUAAAUUAAUGGUCAAAGUAUGUCGUUGAAGACUGUGUAAAAAAUAUAGGCCUUAUAAUUUAUACUUCCUCCAUCCCAAAUAAAUACAGCUUUACACUAUUCAUGUUUAACGUUUGACCGUUCGUCUUAUUUGAUUUUUUUUUAAGAUUAGUAUUUUUAUUGUUAUUAAACGAUAGAACAUGAAUAGUACUUUAUGUGUGUGUCACGCCCGGAAAUUCACUAGUAAUUUUUGAACUUAUUUGUGCGUAAAAUUCUCAUCCAGGAAUCAGCCGAGCUACACAAACUGACAAUUUAAUAUAUAAAUCCAUCAUAAUAAUAACGUUACACACUUACAAAAGAAAAGAAAACAGCAGCGGAAUAACGGUCUAGCGAUGGCUUCAGCUCCACUCCCACAGGCAGCUCAACUGGGGUAUAAGCCAAACGUCUUCUCCUUCUGGAUCCUUUUUCUUCAACUGAGGUUGAUUGAUUAUUGCAAGAAUGAGCAUAUGACAUACUCAACAAGCCACACAGCAAAUAUGCAAAUGCACAAGGAUACCAAAGGAUGGCACAAUAUAGUCUCAUUUGCGAAAGCAGCAUUUAGCAAAGAGUUAAGAGUAGUAAAACAGUAGAGUAAUUAAUUAGAAAUUUUAAUCAACACUGAACAGCACACCCAUGCUGCACAGGCCCAACCAUCCUGAACAACCAUACCCGGCUAUACAGAUCUAACUCCAAACCAGGAGCUAAGCAAAUUAUUACCAGGUAUAACAUCCAUAAUUAUUGUGAGAGGUGUGAGACUAAUCACGAAAAACAUUGCUCAACCCGCCCAUAACCGCGGGCACGGCUAUUCGAAUAGUUUUACUCUGGCCAGAGGUGUACCACUGUACCCACAAGACACAGCCUCAACAUCAUGUCUACCAUGCGUCGCGAUACUGGAAAGUACCCGAAUAGAGGCUGUGACAAUACCCUCUGCACAACACAACUCACCACAGUGCACCAUUCCUGGAUCAUAAUCACCCCCUUAUAAAACAAGGCAUGGACUCCCCAGCGACCCCCGUGGGCUUAUCUCCGCCACUUCUCAGUCUGGUGCUCCGCAAUGAACCAUGCUAUACAAAAGGUAAAGCCGUUGCCCACGCUGGCUUGUGGUUGGCACGGUUAAUGUUUCACAAUAGUAGCUUGCGAACCGGUCCUUAAUUGUCAUGAGCACGACUCUCAAAACCAUAUGCUCACAACCCACCAUUAUCAAGUUUUAGUUGGCAAGUAAUUAAUUAACCAAUCACGAUUGACUAUCGUGAACUAUUAUUAAGCCAUCAUUAAAUAAUAGUGAGUCAUAAGUUAUCCCAAUAGUGUGCUAAUGUUUCUAAGCAUGGCUAAGCAAUCAUAUCUAAUAUCUAGCUGAACCAAUAUAUAAAGCUCAACUAGUCAAGUUAUAAUAACCCAAGGUAUCAAGGAAUAAAGUAAUCAAUGCAAACAGGCCAUAACAAAGGAAUAGAUUCACACCACCUAGUGACAUUCGAAAAUAAAUGCACAGUUGAAAUAAAGAGAGAAUUUAAAUAUAGGAUCAACAUGCUCAAAGGAUUGUGUUUAGGAUCUAUGUGACUUUCCUUGCAAUAAUCGGUCUUCAAUUAAUCUUCUGAACACUCCCGACGCACUCACGAACCUUCGCAACGAUGGAAACAACAAGCUAACACGCAAAACGAAGAAAAAGACUAAUAAAAACCAAAUAAACAGUACAAAAACAAGCAUAAACAGUACAUAUAAAGUAAAGAAACAUGUAGAUCAUGAUUUUAGAUGAAUUUAGCAACUUGAACCACUCAAAACCGAGUUACGAUGAUUUAGUUAUGAAUUUCCGAAGAUUAAAUCGGAUUAAAUCCUUUAUAUAGGUUUUAAUUGAAUUAUGACGCAAUAAUGAAUUAUUUUUGAAAAGGAAAAGAGGAUUAUUGCGUCAGCGGGUCGGGUUCAUGGUGGACCGGGUGCAUGGCGGCGGCUCACGGAAACGAACGGCCGAGAUCGAUCCAACCAAAACGAACGGCCGAGAUCUAUCGGUCCACGGCCGGACCACGGGAGACGACGACGAUGACGUCAGCGGUGACGUCAUCACCGGCGACGACUCGGGCACGCAUGCCCGCCGGCAAACGACGGCGCGGCGGCGCGAAAGGAGAGCACCAAAACGAUGCGGGCGACGCGGCGAACUCACCGGUGACCAAAACAACGGCGGAAGAUCAACGGACAGCAACGGCGACGAGGAAGAAGCGGCGACGACCUUCGGCUUGACGACGGCGAUGGUGUUCCAGCGGUCGACAGCGACGGCGGAGGGGCGGACGAGAUCGGCGACGGCUUGGUGUCACGCCCCGAACUAGUCCCGACCGGAACUAGCCCGUGACGCUCCAAAUUAACCUGUUAAUCGAUACCAGUCGCAGGGAACAGUGCUGGUAUCACAGGGAGACAGAAUAUCACAGCAACAGAGGUCUCUUUAUUAUAGAGUAGAUGUACAGUCAUGUUGGGCUGCGGACAGAUCCCGAGCUCACAACUGCAUUACAAAAGGAAAGCGGAAGCCAGGACUUGGACCAAUCAACACAGGCGCGACUUGGGAACUAGGCCGAAACCCUAAAACUCAUCGUAGCCGGCUUGCUCCUGGAAGAACUCCUCAUCAGUAGGAUCCGCUUCAUCUUCUUCAGCAACUGGGGGGGAAAUUAUUUAUAUAGAGCAAGGGUGAGUACGGGAGUACUCAGCAAGCCAUGGGAAAUAAGUGUUUAAUGCAGGCUUCAAGGAAAGGCUGGUGUUUUUGCAAUUAAUUUUAUUUGAACUCUUUUCUGAAACAACUAAGUGAGUGCUUCUCAAACGACACGGAUGAGACAGUGCGUCUCGUCCGGUCGGAGUAUGUGCAAUGUAUCAGUCUUUAGAAUUUAAACAAGGUUGGCACCCGGCCAACAGCUUUUUCAACGGCCACCCGGGCCAACAACUUUUCAAACGGCCACCCGGGCCUAGCUGAUCCCAUCAGCUGCAGAUUUUUCAAACACCGAACCCCUUUUCACACAGCAAUUUCACAAGCAGUAGUCAAACCAAACUACGCUAGGAAUCACCUCACAUCCGCCCAUGACCGUGGGCAUGGCUGUUCGAACAGUUUGUUAACCUCUGCAGAGGGGGUACACUUUACCCACACGACAUUACUAACCCGGAUCACCCAGCCCGUGGGGAUCAGCCACGUCGGGAGACCUCCAAGCUUUCAUGGCAAGGCAUUUCCAAAGCCGACACAGGUUUACCUUAUGCCGACGAGAGGGGUCCCAGACCAACAACAGGUUAGGUCCCAGACCAUACUGUGCCAGGAAGCCCAGGGGUCCUCCCCGACACCACCCCGGCGAAUCCACAUGUCUCUCGGCAUCAAGGCUCCCCUGAUAAGCUAGUUACUCAGCCAGGGGUGUCCCAUUCCACCCAUGUGGUCGUACUUGUCUUAUGUUUGGAUGAAAUUCCAAGGAAUCGGUCCUUAAGUGCGAGAGCGGGAAACCAUACACCCGGUACGUUUCCCGGUCCGCGGUUUUGGAAAUUCAUUUAGUUCGCAAGCACCGACCCAGGUGUCGGGUUUUCCAAGUCUUUUGUAAAACUCCAGUUUUACGCAAGUUGUUACUCAGAUUUUAAGUUUGAAGGCGACCGUCGAUACUGGCACAGGGUGCACGAAUAUCGAGGCGCAACUGGAUGAUUACAAGGGGACAUGGUAUAGCAAUUAACAAUGGAAGGAUCAAAUGCAACAAGUUAGGUAGGUCUGCCAAUCUGCCUUGCAGACGGAACAACAGAUUAAGUGCAAUCCUAUCAAUGCAUAAUAUUUUGCAAGCAAUAUAAUUAGAUUUCGAAUAUAGGCUCAAGAUGUCCAAAGGUGGCUUGCCUUGCUUGAGAUCUGGAGCUUGAUCCUCGAAAUCCUCGCUCUGCGGGUCUUCGGGCUCCGAAACUAUACGCAAAACGGGACAACUCAACAAACGGCGAAAAUAAAGCCCUAUUAAUGACCUCUAAGCAUGCCAUUAGAUAGAUCUCGAGAUUUGAGAAAUUUUGGAAUUUGAACGGAGUCAAACGGAUUUACGGUUGGGAAGAUAUUGAAUUUCUAAGAUUAUUGGAUUUUUGGUCUAAAGGAAAAGGAUUUAAUUAAAUCCUUUUUUUUUUGGAAAAGAAAAAGAAAAGAAAAGGGGAGAGGGAGGGAAUAUAGACUUCCCUCGGGCGGCUAGGGCGCGGCCCGAGAGAAAGGGCGGCUCGGCCGAGCUUAACGGGCCGGCCGGCCCAAGAAGGCGGCCCAGAGCGGCCCAAGACGCGCGCGCGCGGGAGGGAGGAGAGAGAGAGCCGGUGGACAGGGCUCACCAUGCGCGGUCCCGGGUGGGACCCGCUUGUCAGCGGCUCGGCUCACCGUGCGGAGGGAGUACGCGGCUCAUGCGCGCGGGCGGGGGAGGGACGCGGUGCACGCGCGCGGUUCGCGGUGGACGCGGAUGCGGCGGGCCCACGCGCAGCCUCACGGCUCGCGGUGGAACGCGCGCACGGGGAGGGACUGACCGGGGUCGGCUCGACCCGGUCUAGGCUGAGCUGGCGCCGACGUGGCGCCUACGUGGCUGCCACGCGGGCCGGCGGGAGGUAGACGAUGACCCGGCCGCGAAUGGACGGCGGGCGGCGGCGGCGAGCGGCGGAGCGAACCACGGCGAUACGGACAAAAGCGAGCACACCGGGCGGUUGCUCGUGAUGAGGGGAGACGAGCCAACGGCUCGGAUUUGCCGGAGGAAGCUUGACGGCGGCGACAACCGGCGGAGGGGGGGGAAGAGGGAAACGGCGGCGAGGCCACGAGGGAUCGAUUCCCGGCGGUGAGAGCAUCUACGCGGUUUCGGGAACUCGAUGCUAGCGUCGGAUUGGACGGAGCUACGCCUAGCGAGGCUGGCGACGUGUGGGUGCUACGGAGCUCGAGCGGCGACGGCGGCGAGCACACGACGAGCGACGGCAACGGUCGGGGCGGCGCCGGCUAACUACGGGGAGUCUACUCGAGCUACUACCGAAAGCUAGGGGGAGGAGAUGGAGCGAGGAGGAAGAACGGAGGGAGGCAUCACCGAGAUGAGGAGGGGCGCUGUGACGAGAGGCCGACGGCGCGGGAGUAAUCUCUCCGGCCUCGGGCCGGGGAAGAGGAAGGAGAGGGCGCGGCCGAAGUCCCCUUCCGCGUCCUUGCUCGUGCUGACUCCUUCGACACGCGCAACAACAAACGGCGACGGCGAACAGAGCACGGGGGCGGCAGCUAUGGCGAGGAGGCGAAAACGAGGGAGAUUGGAGGGGAAGGAGCUGGGGUUUAAAGGGGGCGGCAAUGUCGGUUUGGGAACCGACUUAGGGCGGUCAAGGCGCGAGCUGGCGCUCGGCGGUCGCGGCCAAAGCGGCGACAGGGAGGAUGACGCCGGUGGGGGAAAAGGGGAAAAAGGAGGGGGAGAAAGGGGCUUGCCCUUUUGCCGAUUCGGGAAAAAGGAGGAGGGGAGCGGGGGCGACGCGGCAGAGGGAGGAGGGGCGCUGCCUCCGUCCCUUGGCGGCUUGCGCGCGGAGUGGCGGGGGCCGGGCGGUGACGACGGCGAUGACGGCGGGCGAUUUGGAGCGGCGCGACGACACGGGCGACAGACGCGCACAGAGGCUGACGGCGGCGGCGACCGGGCGGUCGGCCACUCGGCACGCGCGCGCGGCUUGCAACGGGCGGCAUCCGCGCGGGCGUGCGCACGCGAACACGGCGCGCGGGAAGUGGCAGCGAGGGAGCGGAGAGGGAGGACUUGGCUCGUCUCGGGCGGCUUACGCAGGCGCGGCAGAGCGAGGAGAGGGGAAGGGGGCGCUCGGCGCGGUGGCUCACGCGCACGCGCGCGGGCGGAGCGGAGGAGGAGGAGCACUCGGCGCGGCUCUUCGCGCACGCGCGCGCGGCGCGCGGGCGAGGCGGAGCGGAGCUGAGCGGGGGGGGGGGGGGAGCGGAGCGCGCCGGGGAGGGGAGAGGGCGAGAGAGAGAGAGAGAGAGAGAGAGAGCGCCCGGGAGAGGGGGAGAGGGAGCGCGCCGGGAGGGAGAGGGCGGGGGAGAUGGGCCGGGAGAAAAUCGGCCCAUCGACCCCCGGGGGAGGCAAAAUAGACUUUUGCGGAGGAAUUUGAUUUGGAAGGAUUGGAUUCGGGAUUGGACUCGACGAUAGAUCGGGGAUUGAGAUCUUGAGAUGGCACGGACACUAGACAACAAGCAAAGAAACAAAUUUCACAAUUAGGGUUUUUAAGAGAUAAUUUUCCCGCUAGGCGCCACGACGGAACGGGCGCUACACUUGGCGAUCCCGAUGGCGGCUUUCCCGAGCGACGACGACGACCGGAGCGACAGCGGCGCACGGCUGGACGAACGGCGGCGACGGCGACGGCGGCGCAAAAGCUCACGGGGCUAGGGCGCUACAGACGGCGGCGGGCUAAGGCGAGAGUGGCUGCGGGUAGAGGGGAGCUCGGGGGUCCUUUUAUAGGGGCAAGGAGGCGGCGGCGAAGGCCCACGGCAACCGGCGAUGCGAAGGAAAGGUUAGGGUUCAGAGAGAGAGACGAAUCCGAUUCGAGAUCGAAUCCACGAGUUUCCAAACCGAAUUAGGUGAUGAUUCUAAAAGAGAAAAGGUAGAGGAGAUCGAGAAGAUCAUUUCCGCAAAUACUCUCCCGAGGCAUCGAGUCACCUACACAUGAAACAAACAAAGAAACUGUCACAUCCUGAUUUUUGUUUCAGGAUUUAUAAAUUAUUUAAUAAAUUAUUAUUAGAAUUUAUAUUAAACGUUCAUUAAUUUACAAGUGAAGUUAAAUGUGGGAAAUAAAAUUUCCUAAAUUUAAAGCAUGGAUGGAUUUAAUUUUUAUUAAAUUCUCUAUGAUUAAGUAUACUCUCUGAAAUUUUCUCGGAUUUUUUGGAGCUCAAUUCCUAAAUGAUACAAAGAACAGUUCAGUAAUUAUUUGAUCAUUAAUGAUCUAAUUAUAAUUGUUAAGAGCUUUUCUUGUUUGAAAAUCCUUAAAUUAUAAAUUGUUGUUUAAAAGGAAUUAUUAGAAAUGAUCUUAAAAGCCUAAAAGAGAAGAUCUAAUUUUAAUUUGCUAAAUCUCAAUAUAAAAUUGGGCUAGAUAAAAUUUUGUUAAAUACUUCUCUUGAAUCUUUAGUUCCUAGAUUUUUCUGGGAUUUAUUUGAGCCAAGAAAGUAUUUUUAAUAAAUGGAAUUGCAUUUCAUGAAUAAUUUAAAUUAAAAAAGGUUUUUAAAAGUCUCUUUUGGCUUUGGGCAGAAAGCCGGCCCAAAACCUCUCUCUCCCUCGGCCCAGUCGGCCCAGUCCGGCAGCAGCCACCCGCGCGCGCAUCCGCCCGCUGACAGGUGGGGCCCACCUGUCAGGGCUGUCUUCCUCCUCCAGCCGUCGCCCGGCCGAACCCUAGCCGAGCCGCGCCGCCGCCGCCUUUCCUUUUUCGCUCGCCUAUUUCCCGAUCCGGUGAAAUCAAUAGAGGGGAAAUGAUCUUCUCGAUCUCCUCUACCUUUUCUCUUUUGGAAUCAUCGCCUAAUUCAGUUUGGAAACUCGUGGAUUCGAUCUCGAAUCAGAUUCGUCUCUCUCUCCGAACCAUAAACUUUCCUUCGCGUCGCCGGUCGCCGUGGGCCUUCGCCGCUGCCUCCUUGCCCCUAUAAAAGGACCCCCGAGCUCCCCUCUACCCGCAGCCACUCUCGCCUUCGCCCGCCGCCGUCUGUAGUGCCCUAGCCCCGUGAGCUUUUGCGCCGCCGUCGCCGCCGUUCGUCUAGCCGUGCGCCGCCGUCGCUCCGGUCGUCGUCGUCGCUCGGGAAAGCCGCCAUCGGGAUCGCCAAGCUGUCGCCGAUCUCGUCCGCCCCUCUGCCGUCGCUGUCGACCGCUGGAACACCAUCGCCGUCGUCAAGCCGAAGGUCUUCGCCGCUUCUUCCUCGUCGCCGUUGCCGUCCGUUGAUCUUCCGCCGUUGUUUUGGUCACCGGUGAGUUCGCCGCGUCGCCCGCAUCGUUUUGGUGCUCUCCUUUCGCGCCACCGCGCCGUCGUUCGCCGGCGGGCAUGCGUGCCCGAGUCGUCGCCGGUGAUGACGUCACCGCUGACGUCAUCGUCGUCGUCUCCCGUGCUCUGGCCGUGGACCGAUAGAUCUCGGCCGUUCGUUUUGGUUGGAUCGAUCUCGGCCGUUCGUUUCCGUGAGCCGCCGCCAUGCACCCGGUCCACCAUGAACCCGACCCGCUGACGCAAUAAUCCUCUUUUCCUUUUCAAAAAUAAUUCAUUAUUGCGUCAUAAUUCAAUUAAAAUCUAUAUAAAGGAUUUAAUCCGAUUUAAUCUUUGAAAAUUCAUAACUAAUUCAUUGUAACUCAGUUUAACGUGGUUCAAGUUGCAAAAGUUAUAUAAAAUAAAGAUCUACAUAUUAAAAUUAUCCAUAAAUAGAAUUAAAUUUAUUUAAUUCUUUUUAAAUGGGCUUUAAUUAGAUUAAAUCUUGUAAAAUUCGUAAUAAAUUCAUAUGAAGUCAGAAUGAGGCCGUUCAAGUCUCAUAAUUCAUCUAAAAUUAUGAUCUACAUGUUUGUUUAUUUUUUAUGUACUGUUUAUUUGGUUUUUAUUAGUCUUUUUCUUCGUUUUGCGUGUUAGCUUGUCGUUUCCGUCGUUUCGAAGGUUCGCGAGUGCGCCGGAAGUAUUCAAGAAGAUUAAUUGAAGACCGAAUAUUGCAAGGCAAGUCACACAGAUCCUAAACACAAUCCUUUGAGCAUGUUGAUCCUAUAUUUAAAUUCUCUCUUUAUUUCAACUGUGCAUUUAUUUUCGAAUGUCACUGGGUGGUGUGAAUCUAUUCCUUUGUUAUGGCCUGUUUGCAUUGAUUACUUUAUUCCUUGAUACCUUGGGUUAUUAUAACUUGACUAGUUGAGCUUUAUAUAUUGGUUCAGCUAGAUAUUAGAUAUGAUUGCUUAGCCAUGCUUAGAAACAUUAGCACACUAUUGGGAUAACUUAUGACUCACUAUUAUUUAAUGAUGGCUUAAUAAUAGUUCACGAUAGUCAAUCGUGAUUGGUUAAUUAAUUACUUGCCAACUAAAACUUGAUAAUGGUGGGUUGUGAGCACAUGGUUUUGAGAGUCGCGCUCAUGACAAUUAAGGACCGGUUCGCGAGCUACUAUUGUGAAACAUUAACCGUGCCAACCACAAGCCAACGUGGGCAACGGCUUUACCUUUUGUAUAGCAUGGUUCAUUGCGGAGCACCAGACUGAGAAGUGGCGGAGAUAAGUCCACGGGGGUCGCUGGGGAGUCCAUGCCUUGUUUUAUAAGGGGGUGAUUAUGAUCCAGGAAUGGUGCACUGUGGUGAGUUGUGUUGUGCAGAGGGUAUUGUCACAGCCUCUAUUCGGGUACUUUCCAGUAUCGCGACGCAUGGUAGACAUGAUGUUGAGGCUGUGUCUUGUGGGUACAGUGGUACACCUCUUGCCAGAGUAAAACUAUUCGAAUAGCCGUGCCCGCGGUUAUGGGCGGGUUGAGCAAUGUUUUUCGUGAUUAGUCUCACACCUCUCACAAUAAUUAUGGAUGUUAUACCUGGUAAUAAUUUGCUUAGCUCCUGGUUUGGAGUUAGAUCUGUAUAGCCGGGUAUGGUUGUUCAGGAUGGUUGGGCCUGUGCAGCAUGGGUGUGCUGUUCAGUGUUGAUUAAAAUUUCUAAUUAAUUACUCUACUGUUUUACUACUCUUAACUCUUUGCUAAAUGCUGCUUUCGCAAAUGAGACUAUAUUGUGCCAUCCUUUGGUAUCCUUGUGCAUUUGCAUAUUUGCUGUGUGGCUUGUUAAGUAUGUCAUAUGCUCAUUCUUGCAAUAAUCAAUCAACCUCAGUUGAAGAAAAAGGAUCCAGAAGGAGAAGACGUUUGGCUUAUACCCCAGUUGAGCUGCCUGUGGGAGUGGAGCUGAAGCCAUCGCUAGACCGUUAUUCCGCUGCUGUUUUCUUUUCUUUUGUAAGUGUGUAACGUUAUUAUUAUGAUGGAUUUGUAUAUUAAAUUGUCAGUUUGUGUACAUCAGUUGAUUCCUGGAUGAGGAUUUUAUGCACAAAUUAGUUCGGAAAUUAUUAGUGAAUUUCCAGGCGUGACAGAAACCAUAUUCCGAGACCAAGCUAUUCCCAACUUGACUCAUUAGUAGCAAACAACAGUAUUACAUACGUAUAGAAUCCAUCUAGAAACCAUAACCAUGAAACAAUCACGGAUAUCCAAAGAAACAACCCGAAACCGAAACCGACUCAGCGUCGGCCGGUCAGACCGCGGGCCUGGCCGGUCUGACCACACACAUAGCACCGGUCUGACUGGCAACCUCCACCCGGUCGGACCGGUCACAUAAAAUAACAGUGAAUCCGAUCAUCACCUGAAAAUUGAUUAUCUCCAAAACAUGCCAAUUGUUUAUCACAGAAUAAGAAUUAAAACACACAUUGAUCUUAUAGCGUUUUCUUCCGUGUUUGGUUUCCGAUGUGAUUUUGGAGCCACUUUUAUAACAAGUAUGUCCAUACUUAUUAUACUAUGUUUUGUCACAUCCAAUUCUAGGUUUGUUUUUUUACAGAAGAAGUAGGCACUUACUUUAUAUCUAAAAUUUGUAGUACUAUAGUAUGUAAUAUCCAAUAUUAAUUUUAUUUAUUUCGAUACGGAGGAAAUAUUAUUCAGUUCUGUUUUUUCAAUCGGUGAACCCAAUAGACCCUUAACAUACCGCACUUGACUUUGACGUGCAUUACGACCUAAUUUGAUUUUGAAUUUUCGAAUAUGAUUUUUUAUAAGUAAUUUUAGGUAGAUUAACAAGCAACGAAAAUGAACGAAAAUUACUAAGUAAACCACUGAAAUCAAUCUGAAAUAAAAUUUUAAAACUUAUAUGAAGAUUUGCCUAGCAACACCUUAGUUUGAUGCUGAUGGCAUUAAACGGGUAUGCAGAUGCCCAUGCUCCAGAGUCCAGAGGGCUAUUAGUGCGUUUAAUUUCCAUACCUCUCUGUUCGUGCGAAUAUGAUAGUUGUGGUGUAGAUAUUUUUAAAUAAUGAAAUAGGCGUCAUGUGUAGUGUAGAGAUAUGGCAUAUGUGAAAAAUGUGUCAAGCCGUGCUCUUGGAAGUAUAAUCCUAAUCAAUAAAAACAGAAACUUGCACGACUGUACGAUCUCCAGUUCUCCUUUGGGAGUAACUAGUUGGUUUGAGUUUUGUUUUUUAAUGGGUUUGAUUUGAUUCAUUGAUUGUGAUGCCCUUUAAUCAUUGUAGUCUUAUAAUGUCGUCGUACUCACCCGUGUUUCAUAUUAGACGUCGUUUCAACCAUUUCUACUAAUUAUUUUUUAAAGUUUCAUCAAGUUUAAAAAUAUAUAGCAAUAUUUUAAACACAAAACAAUGAUAUUAUUAAAAAUAUAUUCAAUAUUACAUUUAAUUAAACUAACUUAGUGUUAUAGAUGUUGCUAAAUUUUUUCUAUAAACUUGAUUAAAUCUAAAAAAAAUUGACUGGAUAAAAAUAGAUAAAAUGACUUAUAAUAUGAAACAGAGAUAGUACGGUGUACUUUACUCCUUUAGAUGUUUUACAGUCAUACUUCCAUGCGGAUAUUUUCCUUGUAAAAUUCAUGUUGAGCAUCCAAACAACUCAUUUGACAAAUUACAAUGUUUUAAAUUUUCAUAUAAUAGCAUAUGCCAUGACAUUUAAUUAAUAUGUUUUUCUUCUUUUUUUGUGACUUUCUACUCAUGUGUUCGAAAGGAGCACCAAAUCAAACAGUCCGCACCGCACGUUAAUACUGCUAGUCUCGCGAGGGAUUUGGAAGUAAAUGAAUCAAGAACCUUUCAGCACAAGUAGCUCUGGGCAACCGGCCUAGUCACAAAGAUCAGGGAGAAGCCCAAGGGCCUCAGAAAAUUGGCUACUUGGUUGACUAGUCACUAGCUGGGUUUAAGGAUCUAGCUUUUACUUUUGGGAGUAUCUAAAAUACCGCCGCAAAUUUUUUUAGUGAAGAACUUUUAGAAGUAACUAUAGUAUAAUAGAAAUAUAACUGUAUUGUAAUUAUACUGUAACCUAUAUAAAACUUGUAUUUAACUAUGAUUUGAUUGACUAUCAUCGGGAUUUUACACGUGACAUGUGUGAUAAUUUUUUCUAGCAAUUUUUUCUCAGUAUGUACAAAUCUCGAAGCGAUCCGAUGACUACAAAUCUGCAAGCUUUGAGAGAAAAACUUACGGAAGUUUUCUAGCAAUUCCGUUACUUUUUCUCCUUUUCCUUACUGUACAGUUUGUUUAUAUUGACGCUCCUCCAUUCGUUUUGAAAAAAAGAAAGAAAGAAAGAAAGGAGCCCUCAACCGGCAACGGAUGGUUCACCCGACCAGCCCACGGCCCGCGCGUGUCGCUGCCUCUGAUCCCGCGCGCGGCAGUGAUAAACUUCCGGGAGUUUGCACAUGGGCCUCCGUUCGCGGACGCCACAGGCCACAGCCCCUGUAACAGCCACGCACCAUCAUCUCCGUCCCUUUCGCGGAAAAAAGGCCCCCACGGCCUCGUAACCGCGACUGUCUCCGCGCCGCGCGCACGACACCGCCGGUGUGCGAGUGGAUGCACGAGGCGCGACUCGCGAGAGACGGCUCGGCGCCGACGACCGAAGAGUCGACGCCGGUGUUCGCUUGCUUGCUUGCUGCUGCUGGUGGUGGUGAUUUCCGUAGUAAAGUUAGUAUGGAGCCAUCGUUUCAUGAAACGGUAUAUUUGUAAACGAAAAAUAAUUACUUACGUAUUCAUAGCGAUCCAAAAAAAAAAGGCUAAACAAUAAAUUUCGAUGAAAAACCUUAGAAUCAACUUUAAAUUUAAGAUUAAAAAUUUAAAUUUUGGCUGAUAAGUAUAAUCAUAAGCGAAAAGCGAAAAGAUAAGUACCUAGAGUUAUAAGGGCUUGCUGUAGUAAAGUUGACUUGAGAAACGUACUUCCCGAGUGUUUCACUGACUGACUGCUACUAACAUACUCUUACUCCAGUAGAGAAACGAACACAUGUUCAAAAACUUAGACUAAUAAUUCACGAGUCAAAUGGGGAUCGAACCGAAGAUCUGAACUAGUGAGAACAUUAAUUUCUCACCGGAACAGAAUCUCUGGACACGCAAAAAAAACUAACCGCAUGUGAGGAGACGAGCACACCAUAUGCUCGUCGCACAUGGUUGGCCUCUAAAUUUCUACGGACGAUCGACACGCCAAAGGCAAGCGAAGAAUCCUUCAAAAUUUCGAACAUAAACUACGUGUUCCUAUAGUCCUAUCUGUGAAUCUUUCAACUCGGCACAACCACUCGCCAAUGACGGUUCAUCUCACACUUGUUGUUUAUGCCAAGAUGGAACAACCUCAUCAAUCAUCAGUGUACUGUAGUAGACUGAACAUAUCUUACCAUGACAUGGCUCACGUGGCUGGUGGUGGUGAGCAUCAAUGGGAGUGAUUUGAAAUGAAUCAUUUCGUACAUGGAAGGGACUGAUUCAUCAAAGACCUACACUGUCGGUCACAACGGAGUACUCCCUUCGUCUAAAAAAAAAAAAGUAACCGAAGAUAUCCCUCCCUAGUAUAACGAAUUUGGAUAAAUUACUAGGAGACGGAGGGAGUAGUAGUGAUCUUCCUUUCCUUCUUGAAAAAUCAAUUAUAGUAGUACGUAGUUGUUUUUCUGAAUAAUGAACUAGUGAAAUGUCAUCGUCAAACAGAGGAGCAGAAGAGAUGUAGUAGAAAUGUAAGAGAAACCCCUUUUCAUAUUCAUUCAUCCAUCAGCAGAUGAGUAAUUAUGAAUUAUGAUCGUAAUACGUUGUAAAAAAAAAUACUCCAAUUCGAUCCUACAAACAUUGCCUACUAUGUCCAAAAGAAUGGCUCUUUCAAAUCAAUUCAAAAUAGAAUCAAGUGUGGAGAAGCAUGAACAAUGUGCUGCUGUUGCAAAUUUGACUCCAAGAACUCUCUCUCUCUCUCUCUCUCUGAUCAUCACCACAGGAGCAUCAAGCUACCAGCCAAUGCCAUCACCAAGCCAUUGACGACGCCGGCGCCGACGCCGCACGCGGCGCUCGUCGAGUCCGCCUUGCCGCCGCCGGCGCCCGUCUUGCCGGACGCCGGGCCGGGCGCGAGGUCGGACGCCCCGGACACCGGCGCCGGGGCGGGCGCCGGCGCCAGCGGCGGGUCCUUGCUGAAGAUCUGCAUGGGCAGGAGCACCUUGUUGAGCGCGUACACCGCCACGGGCCUCGUGGCGUACACGCUGCUCGAGAUCUUGGGCCUGGACCACAUCGACUGCACGGAGAUGGUGCCCAUGUCGUCGGUGAGGUUCAGCGUGUACGGCGCGCCGGCGAACGUGUUCACCGGGUUGAGCUCGCUGAGGUUCUUGAACUCGGCCAGGGAGUAGAACUUGGGGAACGCGUGGUACAGCAGCAGCGUCUUGAGCUGGUCGCCGGUGAGGUUGGAAAAGGUGGACUGCUUGAUGGCGGCGAACGCCGAGUCCUUGGGGACGAAGAUGGUGACGCCCUCCUUGGUCUUGUUCGCCUGGCUCUGGAACGUCUCGAUGACGUUCGUCUUCUCCAGGUAGUUGAGGAACGUGUGGAACGGCCCGGCCACGCUGAGGAGCUCGGCGAGGUCGACGUAGUGCGGCGCCGGCGCCGGCGCCGGAGCCAAGCUCGGUGGAAGCGACACCGGCGACGGCGCCGCCGGCGGGCUCUUCUUCUGAGCCAAUGCCGGUGACGGCGACGAUAGGAGGACGGCUACGACGGCGGCCGCGAACAUGGCUGCUUUGAACUCCAUCUUCUCUUCUCCUCUGAUCCUGAUCCCUGAGAUCAUUUAAGCAAUGUACAUUGUACAGUGAUCAAUGCAAGAUGAAUUUUCUUGAUCAUAAAAACCAAAAUGUUUGUUUGUUUUUUGGCUGAGAUCUAUCUGUAUUUGAACUGAACUGCUUAGUGACAUCACGAUCAUUAGAUCUAGUUUAGGUGGUCACAUUAUAGUAGUAGUCUGAUAGUGUCACCUACCAAAAUCAGGACACAUGAUAAACUGGUUGCUUCAACAACAAAAAAGAUACUUAUGUCUUUUAGAUCUCAGCACAGCACAAAGACAAAAAGAGAAGGACCAACUACCAAAGCUGAACAUUCAAGAGUCUACACCAAGCAUACACAACAAUCUUCGCUUCGACUUAAAGAAAAAGAGAUACCCUCAUGUGCUAAAAAAAAUCUUAAUUUCUCAAGAUCAUUCAAGAAUUACAUAUGAAAAAGAUCAAAAUAUACCAUAAGCAUAAAAGUACAUUCAACAAUAAGUAGCCCCAAGCUAUUAACCACAAUGACUCAAUGAGAUGAAACUAUGAAAUUUGCAAAAGGUAACAACAACUCCAAAUUGCAUUGCAAAUGCAGGGGAGAAUUCAGAUUCUGCAAACCUGAGCAGAGCAGGGGAAGGAGAAGAGAAGAGAAGAAGAGGGCAACUGGACGGCAAAGUGUUGAGACUUGAGGGGAGGGGAUGCUAUAUAGAAAGGUUGGUGUUUGUGUGGAAAGGAAGAGAAUAAAUUAUGAGAUUCAUAUGGGGGGUGGCGGCUGUUGCGGCCAUUGCAUUGCAGGUCAGUAGGCACCACCACGACCACACCUCUCAACCAAGAGGUGCAUAAUGAAAGCUGGCCAGGUAUUAGCUGCCCUUUUCUUUCUGUCCUAGCUUUCUUCCCUCCCUGUUCUUGAGUAAAUUGCACUGCUUGUUUAGUGUUAGUACCAUUAUUAAGUGCUUGUAGAAUUAGUUUUAAGUUUUUGUACCUCGUGCAUAUCGUGUACGGAUCACCGAUACAUAAGUGUACACGAUAAUUUCCAUUCUGUUUGUUUCGAUUUAUUUGAGAGAAAUAGGGUAGCAUUUAUCUCACAUUUACUGAUAAAUUCCUCUUCACAUUUGAUGUUUGUAAUGUUUUGCCUUUUCUUGGUGUAUGUAAUAUGGGAACAAAUGGCGCAAACGUGUAUUUUUCGCACUCUUUUUUUUCCCUGGAGUGUGUACUGUCUGGCCAAGAUACUAGUUUUAAUGUAAAGUCCAACUUGUAAUUGUGCAGUGUUGUAUUUCUCGCAAAUCUGACUUCUCAAAACCAACUUGCAGGCUUUGGCAUUUUUUAAUUGUUCUUGUUCAAAACUGUAAGAUGACUAAUGUAAUUUUUCUAUUCACUGUCUGGCACCUAGAUCCAUUAGACAAACAAAAAUAUUUUAGCAUAUUUUGCAAGUACAGAUGCAUGCAGGACAAAGAAGAUUGCACAAUGUACUGAGAAGUAAGGGUGUGUCCUCAAAGGUCAGAGCACAGAAAUUCCAAUUUGAAGUACUAUCUGCAGUGAAAGGGAAUCACUCUUUGCUGGAGCUCAGACCAUGUACUGCAAACUUCAGAAGACACUGAUGAGUAUAGUAUAGAAGUUGAUUAUCAAGGCUAUUUCUCGGAAGAAUCCAAUUCAGCUUAGGCCUUAGGGUAUCAUGUGUGGUUUAUAAAUUUGACAACGCAACCAAUGCUCCAUUUCUAUCAAGGAUUCCCCCAACUUGCUUGAUACUCAAAGUACUAAGACCAAACUCAUUUUUUCUCCUUAAAGGAACCAAACAUAGAACCUUUUUCCAUGAAAAAAUGUGGCAAACUGCUAUCAGCUAGCUUUUUUUGCUUCCCGAUAAUGAUAUUUCCAGAAAAGAAAAGAAUACAUCUCUUGAAUAGAGUUCAUGUUAAAGUAUAAUCACAUUAAAAAGGUACGAUAGCUUCCAUUUCUAGUCACCUUUUCAACUGCACCCUAUGUGUAACUGGCAGCUUUUGUUGCAGAUUAAACAGAAAAUGCCCGGCGACAAAUUAAAUAUUGUACACUUUUAAUUUUCAUAGAGUAUUGUUGUGAUUAAUUGUGUACUUCUUUCUUGUGAACCCCCCCCCCCCCCCAAAAAAAAAAGCAGCAAGGAUAAUAAAAUAUACUGAACAUAGUAUAUAAAAAUUGGAUUCGAAUAAUUGGAAAUCAUAACCGAAUGAGCUAUUUGAGCUGAUUUUGUAGUGUCGGUGAGAUGACCACUUGACUCGUGUGAUGGCCUGAUGCAGCUUGUAUCUGGUGGGAUUAAGCAUCUUCCCUUGCAUCAAAUGUAGAAUAAUAAUUGUUCAGCGGUAGGUAACAACUCGUUAAUCAUCCGAGAAAUGAAAACUCAUUUCAUGAGCUGUCAUUGCCAAUUAGGCUUUAAGAAAAAAUAGAUUUCGUACCGCUUCGUCAUUUCCAAUCAAGUGAGAUCCUUAAAAUCCAUUGACUACAAAAUCGACGGAUCUGACAGCAUAUUGGAAUUUUCAUAUCUAUAUCGAUGACUCAGUUAAAAAUUACUACCGACAGAAUGAUUUUUAUUCCUAUAUAAAAAAAUAUAACUUUGUGUACAGACUAUCUCCAAUACAUUUCAACAAUAUCAUAUCUUUUGUGCAUAUCAAGCUAUAUUGAGCUUUCUUAAUUAAUAUAUCACAUUGUGGAAAUAAAAUUCCUUGGAGGCCAGCAGGUUAUAAUUAAUGAAACCAAUCCAAUUUUCAACUUGUUUUUCUCCUUUCCAAGAAACGUGAACAUUGGUUAAAAUAUACUAUUUCUUCCAUUUAAAGUCAUUCUGCCAAGAACAGAGCCCUUGUUUUUGUUUCUUCUAGAACUGCAGUAAGCAAUGCACUACUCCUUAAUAUUAAACAAUCAAUGCCUACUUCAAGAUUAUACUAGUACUCACUACUCAGUAGCAUAAAGUCACCUUCUCCUUUCACUACCUCUGACUUCUCUAAUGAACUUGAAUAGAACAGUUGUUUUAAGUGGUUGCUGCCCUUAUGGAUCACUUCUAGUUAACCUACCCCCUUAAACUGUAGGGUGAUGCAAUCCCUGAGAACUUCGCAUGUAACCUUCUUUCUCUUUUUGACUAUCCCCAAAAUCUUUAACAUCAUAUUCAGGUCACAUUACGGCCAUCAGAAGGAAACAAAUCACUAAACAAUUACUACAUCUCCUAAAUAAUCGACUCUGCAUUUUCGUAGCAGGGAUGUUUGUCCACAUGAAACAUGAUUCCUUCCCAUCACACCGAAGAAAAGCAUUGCAUUUGAUAGCUUUGUUUAAUGAAUCCAAGACCAGAAAAAAUAAAAAAAACUAAUACUAUGUGUUUCCAUUCCUGCAUGCAGAUGACGAUGCCUUAUUCUUCAGCAUGGCAGGAGAUGUCCCUGGAAUGCAAUUAUUGUGGACUAAUGACACGAUAACCACCGGAAAAUGAACACGGGAAAAGGAGAGGAUUGACGUAGAACGGGGAGAAAUGGUUGUCACGAAGCACACGCUUUGCUGGACAAACAUCCACAUCUGCCGCCAUCGUUCAAACAAUGCAUCCAUCCACGCAAAGAAAAAGGCAAAUCGAAAGCAAUUUUCUUUCUCUUGCAAGGCAUGCCAUGCCUGUCAAUUCAGACUUCAGAGCAUCAAGGAAGCAGGCUAUUGGGCUCACAGAUUUUUGGGCUUUGGGGACAUGGGCUUUUGCAGUCCAGUUCUAUUUAGUAGGCCGUGUCCGAGGCCUACGCAAAUGCAUUCCAAAUUUCCAAUACAGCCCACGUGCAUAAACUUUCGUGGCCCAUUUGUUUCCUGCCCGUUUUCCCUUUCCCUUAGGAGGCCCGUUGGCCCAUGGAAUUUGAGUGGGUUUAUACUAGCCUAACACGUACACUACUAAUUUUUGCAUAAAUUUUAUACAUUAAAACUUUAUGUAUAAAGGGCUGGUUUGGUUUGUGGCCUAAAUUGGCCUUACCAAUUUUUGGUAAGUUUUGGUAUGACUAAUUUUGAGAAGGUAAAGUUGUAUUUGGAUUGAAGCCAAAAUAGCCUAAGUUAACUAUUAAAAUGGCAUAUUUUCUUAGGCAUGCCAAAAUUUGGCUUUAAACCAAAUAGACACUAAACACUAUUGAAAUUGCCAAAUAUUGGUAAGCCAAAUUUAGGCUUAAAACCAAACCAUCCCAAAAUUAUUUGAUAUAUGCACUUUGCUAAUGAAUUUUAGAAGAAUUUUAAAACAAUUUCAAAAAGAAAAAAAUAUAUUCUAUGAACUUUCUAUUGUGGCGUCUAAACUACCCUACGCACACUUUUAGGGCGAAAUUGUUUUAGGGGCAAACUGUGCCAAAAAAAAACAAGAUGCGUGGUAGACAUUUCAUUCAUUGGCAUGGUUUAAUGCAAACAAUUUUGGGGACCAAAAUUUAAACCGAAUAUUUUAAAUAUAAAAGUCAACUUGAAACAAUUUUUAACUGAAUAUGUAUGCUUUUGAAUUGACAAAUUGUAAUUUUAUGCCAAAAGCACAUCCUAUCGGGACCCACAAACAAACCCAAAACGAUAAAUAAUUUGUGAAUAAAACUUUUACCUACGUGUUCUUAACGACCUAAAAGUAAAGGCUGAAAAAUAAACUUCGAUGAAAAAAAAAUCUCAAAAUCAGCUUUAAAUUUAAUAUUAAAAUUUAAAUUUUGGUUAAUAAUUAAACAUAAGCAUACAUAAAAGAUGGGGCCGUAGGAGUCCUAUUCGUUGGUCACCGUAUGGGCCUCACAUGAUGAGAGUACAUGGGCAUCAUAGAAACUUCUUGAAAUCGAGAGAAACCAGUGGCCGAUCGAGGUGAUGUCUGUCGGCAGACCAACCACAAAUCGGCACAAGUUUAAGGAGUAAGGACCAUCGGUGUGGUAAAGUGGGCUUGGCACAUGCUGUUUCAUUUCAUGGUAUCCUCUAUCUCGACCAACUUGCUGCUGAUGCUGCUGCUUGCCUGCUUCUGCCGGACGCCUUUCCUCAAAGUGAUGAAGUUGCCAAACCUGAUUUGAGCUACGGACCAAAGUUAGCUUGCCAAUUACUCCCUCCGUCACCACAAUAUAAGAGUUUUUAAGUUUUUGCUUACAAUAUUUAACCACUUGUCUUAUUUAAAAAAUUUGUGUAAAUAUGAAAAACGAAAAGUUAUGCUUAAAAUACUUUGGAUAAUAAAGUAAGUCAAAAAAAAUAAAUAAUAAUUUUAAAAUUUUUUAAAUGAGUUAAAUGGUCAAACAGUAUAAGUAAAAACUCAAAAUCCCUUAUAUUAUGGGACGAAGGGAGUACUAUUUGGCUCAACUGCAACUGCACGUACUAUAUUCACAUGCUAACAUAAGCUUUGCGUAAGUGCUUGGUUUUACAACAAUAAAUGAAGGAAAAGUUCUUCGCUUCUUCUGCCUCUGCAGCAAUGCUAUGUUUAAUUUAACCACGCACAGAGCAAGGCGCAGAUUCGCCGCGUCCUGUCAAUGAUAUUCCAACUCACUGUCACUGUCAUAUGAUCUGCAACCUGCCUAAACCGGCCCGAAUCCAUGGGCUUCCUCUCCUUUUCUUUAUACAACAGCUAGCGUAUCUCCCUCGAGGCGAACAAGAACUUUGCUUACGUUUAGCAUUUCUUCACUUGGCGAAAAACAACUCGUCAACAUUGGCACAUCCCACAGCAUAUUACCAGGCCAAAAACCAUGCGCAAUAAUCUGAUUAAUUAACGCGUUGUAGACACGCGGAUUCGACAGUAUAAAUAGCGGCAACUCGUUCUCACAUCUCGUCAAACACCUACAACACCUGAACCAGCUGAGAGCUAGCCAAGAAUUCGAUCGGGCGAGAUGAGCGUGGAGAUUUUGGAUGGGAGGACGGUGGAGAGCUUCGUGGAGGACGAGGGGGCCUUCAACUCGACGGUGGACGACCGGUUCGCGGCGCUGGACGGCGACCGGGACGGCAGGCUGUCCUACGCCGACAUGGCCGGUGAGCUGAUGAGCCUCCGCGUGCUGGAGACCCACUUCGGCGUCGACGGCGCCGCCGCCACGGACGCCGAGCUCGUCGACCUGUACCGCGGCCUGUUCGCCCGGUUCGACCGCGACGGCGACGGCGCCGUCGACCGUGAGGAGUUCCGCGCCGAGAUGAAGGAGGUGAUGCUCGCCGUCGCCAGCGGCCUCGGCUUCCUCCCCGUUCAGAUGGUCGUCGAGGAAGGCAGCUUCCUCAAGAGGGCCGUCGAGAGGGAGCUCGCCAAAGCUGCCUGAUCAUCGCC